GCAACGUGCUCCGUUCCGUUAUUCCGAACGCGCCAAAUCUACGCCACGUCUGCCUCCAAACCGGAGGGAAACACUACGUGGGACCGUUCGAGUCGUUCGGCAAGAUACGGCCUCACGACACGCCCUUCACCGAAGACCUGCCAAGACUGAAUGUGACAAACUUUUAUUACACUCAAGAAGACAUAUUGUUUGAAGAAGUCGAAAAAAGAAAGGGGCCGUUGUCAUUGACUUGGUCCGUACACAGGCCUCAUAUAAUAUUUGGGUUUUCACCGUACAGUAUGAUGAAUGUUGUAGGCACUCUGUGUGUGUAUGCGGCUAUAUGUAAACAUGAAGGGGUUCCUUUACUGUUUCCAGGGAGUAAAGAUUGUUGGGAGGGCUACUCGGUUGCUUCGGACGCGGAUUUGAUUGCGGAGCAACAGAUUUGGGCGGCGGUGGAUCCGUAUGCGAGAAACGAAGCUUUUAACUGCAGCAAUGGGGAUGUUUUUAAGUGGAAGCAUUUGUGGAAAGUGUUGGCUGAGCAGUUUGAGAUUGAGAAUUAUGGGUUACCACAGGAGGGCGAGAGAGUGAGAUUGGAGGAAAUUAUGAGAGGUAAAGAAGGUGUGUGGGAGCAGAUCGUGAAAGAGAAUCAGCUGCAGCUCACAAAGUUGAGUGAGGUGGCUGUCUGGUGGUUUGCAGAUAUGAUGUUAGAUGGAGGGUUUUUGUUGUUGGAUAGUAUGAAUAAGAGCAAGGAGCACGGAUUCUUGGGCUUCAGGAAUUCUAAGAAUUCUUUCGUUAAUUGGAUUGACAAGAUGAAAACUUACAGGAUUGUGCCUUAGAGGAGUGAUAUUCUGUGGAGGUUGUAAUUGUUAUUUGGUGAGUAAAAUGGUUAUUAUGUUUCAUUUUCAUGAUUCAUGUAACUGUUUGAAAAAUCAAUGGUUUUUGGUCCGAGGUUGGAAAAUCUACAGUCUCUUCUCACAUCUGUUUUAUAAAAAUAAAAUUGGAGACUUGUUAAUUUCUGUUUCUUUGUGUUCAUCGGUUCAUCCCGGCUUUUCUUUCAUCUUCCUUGGCAUCACCAAUCACUUGUAAUAAUUGCACAACAAAACUGAGAUUUUAGAAAAAAUACUUUUGUCGGACAGGUGUACAAUUCAUCCCUCCCCCUAGCUUUCUAGCUCUAUAUUUUACAUCUCUCCUACUAUGUAUACUAAGGCCCUGAAUAAAGGAAACAAAUAAUGGAGACAUGUCGUCCCAUGCUUGAAAAAUGUUUCUCGUCAAAGAUAUAUAUACAUCAUUGAUCGUUGAUAUAAACUCUCAGUUGUGUGUGGCGUGCAUAAUUAUUUAAUUACACGAAUCUAGCUAUUCAAUUGCAUAACCGAAUGAUCAUCAAUAAGGCAGAAUCAAGCUUUUGUGGUGUUCUUGUGACAAAAUAUUCUGCUUUUUUCGUUUAAGAAGAUGACAAAAUAUAGAAUACGUAGUGUAACUUGUUAAGUACUUGAAAAUACAGAGCUUAAUGAGACAGAUACUGGGGUUAUAAUAUAUUGGGGUUAUAAUACUUUACCGCCAGCAGGUCCUCAAAAUCAAGAAAGUACUUGAAACAUGGGAUAUGUCGGAUGUUUAACGUUGCAAUCACAUAGUGUGUCAGUUAUUCACGCAUAUCCUCAAUUUGAUAGUGUCUGUCAAAGAGAUCUAUUUAUGGCUAUGCUUUGGUUAAUGAAAAAACUAAUGUAUCCCACAUCGAAGCGAUACAAAAAGGCAGCCAUGACAAAAGAUAUAAAUAAUGAGCGCCAAGCAACUGAAGGACAUACUUACCUGGACGGGGUCAAUGGGCGAUCAUGAAGGCCCAUGGCCUAGGUUGGUGGCCUCCAUUGCACUUGGGAGGUGCACCCGCCUAAGGUCAACCCAAAGUGGUUGAGCCUACGUCAUAAUUUGUGGCAGUGGGGGCCUGCGUUCGCGCGUAUCUUAUUUUACUUACCUAAUAAGAUCCUAAUUAAGGUUUAUUUUAUUAUUUAAAAAUUAAAAAAAAAACUGAAUAAUUAUAUUUGCUCACCUAAACGUUAGGCCCCAUCUUAACAUGUAGUUCCACUAAAAAAUUAGUUUUUCUUUAUUUUCUUGUUUAAGGUGUAGGAUUUUAAUAUUUUUUAAUUAUUCAACUUUAAAUCUUGAUCGAACUUAGACCGGAGAUUUAGUUAAGGAUUAUUCUCUAUUUUGAAAGUUAAAUUUCCAUCAAAUAAGGUUGUUUGAUGAUUUCUACUUAAAAAAAAAAAUUCAAGGUAAUUAAAAAUUAUUAUGCUGAAAAUCUGUUAACGGUUUAUAUAUGAAAAAAAUUAAUCAUACAUAUUUAUGAUAAAAUUUUCAACCAAUCUCAUGUUAACUUCUUUUAAAUAAAAACUUUGCCUAAGACCUAAAAUUUCAUUGUGCCGACCUAAACCAUAGUUUAGGAUGGAUGGAUUUUGUUGACUUUUUUACCAUCUGACAGGUACAAUAUGAGUGCCUUAACUGACUUGGAUCCUUAUUAUCCUACUACGUGUAUGGCUUAAAUUGACUAUAAAGAAAAUGAGGCUGGAAAUGUAUUUAAUAUUCUAAAAGCUUGUCCGAAAUUGGCUACAAAUAAAAUAAGAGCAGAAAUGUAGUUUUUUUUUUUUUAAGUCGAGCAGAAAUGUAGUUAAUAUUCUGAAGUUGGUAGCUGAUUACAAUUUUAAUUAAUCAUUGUUCUCUUGAUCAUCAUUAUUUCUCUCACCCAAUGGAGAAAGACUGUAUAAUCGGGUCGAUUUAGGUGAUGCCGGGGUUUAGAAAAAAUAUUACAUAUUUUAUCUCAAAUGAUGUGUCAUUUAUUAAGUAGUUGAUAAUUCUUUAUAAUCCAAUUGAAUUAAUUGUAUUAUCUCACCAAUAAAUUAAUGAAUAUUACAUCAAUUGUGAUAAUUUUUGGCAUAAAAAAUUUAAAAUAUAUAACAUUAUUCUUUUAUGCGGAGAUGGAAGCUUGCAAUUUAUCAUGUUCCAAUCUUGAAGACCAUGGAAGAAAGUUGACAAAGAUUGAAAAAAAAUUGUCACUUUCUACCCAAAAAAUAAUUUUAAGAUUUGUUUAAAUGAUCAUACAAUACUUAGUUUCAUAAAUGGAUACAUAAAUAUUUUUUUAUUAUUAUAGUAUUAUACCUUUUUGCAACUAUACCCAAAUUUGGUAUAGAAAUACAAAAUGUCAUUUUCUAUGGGUAGGCAUUCGAGGAUCGCAAAAAAACGAUGCCGACCACCUAAAAAAUAUAGGUACGAAAACUAUAUUUAUUAGAAAACUAUAUUUAAUUAUUUUUAUUAUGCAUUUUAAUCUUUGUAUAUAGUAUAUUGGCUUUUCAGUUCAACCACUCUUAAGGAUUUCUUUGAGAUUGAGGAUGAACGUUGUAUCCUAUAAGUAGCUUAUUUUAUAAGUUCUGAAAAAACCUAUAAAAUUCAUCUUUUCGAGCCCAAAAGUCAAAACAUGGCGACAUAUGUGUUGUUGAAUCGUGGAGUGAAAAAACCUAUCAAAUUCAUCUUUUCGAGCCCAAAAGUCAAAACAUGGCGACAUAUGUGUUGUUGAAUCGUGGAGUGAAAAAACCUAUCAAAAUCAUCUUUUCGAGAUAAAAAGCCAGACAAAUACCGAGGGCGGAACUAAGACUUUAAUUUAACAGGAGUCAUAAUAGAGGAUUUAAAAAAUUGAUUAGGUUGUCGCAUAAAAUUUAUAAAAUUGAAGAGGCAUUAAAAUGGAGAUUAUAAUAGUUAAAUUUAAAUCAUAAAAUUUAGUAUACCAUAAAAAAGGUCUAAGAUAUAUAUUUUUUUAAACAUGCAUGCAUGCAUGCUUCCGCCACAGUCAUACCCUAACGCAAACUUAAGACCGGUCUUAACAACGCCAAGUUUUUAAAGGGAGAUGGAGGAAAGAAAGAAAUACUCACUUGAUUCGAGUGCCCUCAAUGCCCCCUUAGACUUGACUCAUGAAUCAGUAGUUACUAGUGAUCACGUGGAAAUUGUCAACUUGCUGGGCUAAUUAUGCAAUAAUCGCUACGUGUUGUUAUAAACUUAUAGUUAGCGCAAAUAUGUUGUUGUUUUAGUUAACAAAUUAUUCUUAUUAAUUUUAAGAAAAAUAUUUAUAUCAGAAAUUGUUUCAUAAUUUGAAUUGGUCAUCAACUAGCAAAUAAUUAAGAGCCAUCAAUAUUUGAAAUGGUGGGAUGCUAAUAGCAAUAAAUCCGAGCACGAUUAAUACCAAAAAGUAAAACACGGCGCCUUAUUUCAAAGUUUCAAUGAUUUUUUUUUUUAUAAAAAAAAGCACAUAACACGAUGGUCAACCAUACCAGGAAGAAAUAUCAGUUAUCUCAGAUUAUUAUAAUAAAAUCAGAAAGGUCGUUGCCCAGCAGGGCGAAGUGGCCCACCGAACACUGGCCCGCAGCAGGUCAGCUCCAUCGAAGGAUAAAGACCAGAGUAUCAAAAUGAAGUGACAGCCCGAGAUUUCAUUUAGUCAUAUCCUAAUCACGAUCAAGGAGACAAUUAAAUAAAAUUGAGUGGCGUACGUAUAAAUUAUAGAUUCAAGAGAGCUUAAUGGUUAAGGAUUAGAAAGUGCGGACUAGUACGCAAAGGCAAAUGAAAAGAAGAAACUGAGAAGAAACAUCAACGUCGAUGUAAAAUUAUGUAUUAAUUGUAGUAGAUGGCUUAUCUUUUUUUUUUUUUCUCUCCCCCCACCCCCUCCUAAAGUCGGAAAACGCCAACAUUAUGCAUGGUUUGCUCAUGGACUCCAUGUAUCUUUCAUGUUUUGUUUAAGAAUGAAGCUCAAAUGAGGGCACUUGACUGAGUAUGACAAGUUAUUUACGAGAUAAUCGAGAAAUUGCAAAGUCAGUAUCUUUCAUGCUGGUUAAGUAAAGAUAUUGGACGGUACGACUGCUAUUAUUUGUAAGGCCACGGUCAUGUCAGAGUUGCUACCGUGAAGCUAUAACGUAGCUGGAUCCUAUUUAUAAAUGUAAUGUGCAAAUAACAUGUUUUUAAACUUAAUAUAUUUUUAUUUAAUGUAUGAAAUUUGAAAUUUUAUUAAUUUUAGAUAUUUUUUUUAAAAAAUUAUUUAUUUUUUAUAACUUAUGUCUGAUUUAUAUAUGUUUGUAUCGGAAUAGAAAAAAUAAUUUUUUUUUUACUUUUAUUUGAAUAGAAAAAAGUCUAAAGAGAAGUAAAUAUUAUAUUUAAAAAAUAUUUGUAUAAAAUAUAUUUAUUUCUUAAGUUAUAAAAUCUAAUCUUUUUUGUUUUGGUUUGCAAGGAUAUAAAUGUCAAAGAAUUAUGUUUAAGUUUUUUUAUUUAUAAAAAUAAAAAGAUGUCGCUUAUAUUUAGUAUUAAAAAAAACAUAUCAUUUAAAUAUUCAUAUUUAAAUUCAUUCAGACAUUAGAAAAAUUCAGAGACAUUUAGAUUUCAGAUAAAAAAACAAACACUACCUUAAAUAAGGAAUGGUAGAAACCCCUAUAGGGAUGGUGCCUUGGGAAUUUUUCACAUUUGAGGAGGGUAUGAAGAUAAUUUGAUACUCAAUUUCUUAUUCAGAGAAGGAAUGAAGAUAAUUUUUUUUAUAUCUAAUUUCAUAUCCAGGGAAGGGUCCACCCUUUCCUAUUUCCCCAUUUCCUAUUCUAAUUUUUAAUUUUUAAUUUAUUUUCCUAGAAUUAAUAGUGAAUAAAUACUAAAUUUUAAAUUGUAAAAUAUUAGAUAUUAGUGUAAGUAACAAAUAUGAAAAUGCUUAUACAAAUACUAUAAAUAUUAGUUAAUACAAAAAAUUUAUUGUAAUUUAGACUUAACUAUAGCCCAAAAUCAGUAAUCGCACAUGCCUACAAUUCACAAAUCAAAUUCUAAGUCACUCUCUCACAACAUUACACAUCCCUGCCAAAUUAUUUGUGCCAUAACUAGUAUCCAGCUUGUCAUCAUCUCAUCAUAGGUCACUAGUACAUUGCAUUGUUGGUGGCCGAGUAGUCUAACUCAUCGCGACGUCAACUCGUAGCCCCACACGUGGCUUCAUUGCGCUAUAAUCGACCAAGAGAUAUCAUUACUCAUGGACAACACUCACGUCAAUAUUGUAAAAGAAUCACAUUAUUUGAAUUUUGUUUUCAAAAUCAUUAUUUGAGUAUUGUAUAUACCAAAAGUUUGAUGGAGUAGAAUGAAAUAUGACAUGUUUAUGAUCAUUCUCAUUUUAUUUUAUAUGAUUAAAUUAAGUGUAAUAUGACCUAUUUAGAUUAAUAUGAUUAAAUUAAGUGUAAAAACUAAAAAAAUAUCAGUUAUUUGGGGAUUAUGGACCCUUAGAGAUCUCUUGUUAUUUUUUAGAGAGGGGAUGGAGAUCCCUCAAGCAAUUUUGAUGGGAACAAGAACCUAAGUAGAAUAUUAAGAAUGGGUACAGAGAUUACGAUCUCCUCUUUUCGUCUCUCCAUUACCAUUUAAGGUUUAAACAAUGAAGGAAGCAUGCCAUUUUUAUCAUGAUUAUGUAAGUACGCGUGUCACACGUGCAAUCAAGCUUUGGAAAAUCAAUUGCUUUGGUUUGAUGUUGGAAAGCCUUCGUUCUACCAUCUCUUUUGUUUCAGAGACUUCUAAUGAGCAAAAAUUACGUGGAAACCCUUGUACUACCCAAAUAGAAGUCAUGUUUGUUGGUUAGAUUUCCAGCUAUGUAUUGCAUUUUACGUCACUCUCAAACUUCAAUAAAAUUGAGUCAAGUUGAUGAAAAGGUGAACAAAAGAAUGUAAAACAAAAUGUAAAUUCAAAUUUCUCGGUUUUCGCUUCAUAUAUGCAUUAAAAAUAGAACACUUCUAUGUUCAUUGUAUGUUAAUAUUUGCAACCAAUCACUCUGUCAAAAUUAAACGACUCUUGAUAUAUAUUAAUAUUAUUCGAAGAAUUUGAGUUUCUCUGCUGCAAACGAUAUGUUUGGCAAAUCUAGGACUAGAGUGCUCUAUUUAUAUUUAUUUUUGGGAUGAUUUAUAACAAGAGAUUUCUUAUAUAUAUUUUAGCUUUCCUUUUGUUAUUGUAGUUGUCUAACUAUUUUGAGGGAUAAGGCUCACUAUGUCUCCCUUAAUUAGAUAUAAAUUAUUUUUGGUUUUCAAUAAAAUUACAUCGCCAGCCAAGUUUCAUUGAAAAAAAAUUAUCUAUUUAUUUAUUUUUUAAUGUUAGGAGAUCCUACAAAACUUAAAUCGAUUUAUUUAACCUCAUAUCUCUCCAAACUGUUUGAAAACUACUUGGUCAAAUGCAGGACUUUAAUUCUAACAUAUCUUGAUAGGUCAUGGAUAUAUUAGAGUGGUUCUAAGGAAAAACACAAGUCACAUCUUGGUAGUGUCGUACUGUCGUUAGGGUGCACCAAAUUUAAAACCUUACUACUAAUAUAAAUAAUUAGUACAGAACGAGUAAGGAUCGAUCCCACAGAGACUAUACUAGUUAUAUUUAUUAUCAACUCUAAAGCAAGACUUAAAAUAAAAUAAUAAUAGAAGUAAUUAAUAUAAAUUAAUCUAACGAAAGAAAAUGCCAAUUAAAAAGGGGAGUUUUUGAAUUUUUAACUAAAUAGCAAGAAAUAAAGAAAUUAAACUAUGAAAACAAAAAUUUAAUAAAAACUCUAAUUAAAGAAGAAAGAAAUAAUAAUGAUGAAAACUUUGGUUAAAGGAUUAUUCACCACCACCAAACAUGCACAUAAUAUAUCAAUUUUAUCAUCAAUUUAUAUUGAAACUAUCAACCGUAGACAACAACAAACUUUGUUAGUUUCAAUCUUUCUUUAGUGUGUCGUUAGGCAAAACAAGCUCUUCACCUAAUCUCUAACCAUUAAAUAAUUUAAAACAAACUCUUUAAAUUUAAGAGACUGGAAGCAUUAAGUAGAGAAAUAUAUUAGGUUGAUCUAGACAAUAAACACACAAGCUCGGAUUAUUUAACCUAGGUUAUGUUCUCCAAUUGAAAUCACUGAUUCCAACCUGCUACUUAAUCUCAAGACAAUUACGGAUCAAGAAUUUUAAUCUAACAAUAGAAUUUAUUCAAGUCCUAUCUAAUUGGCCACUCAAACAAGACGAGAAUAAAAUCAUAAACAUUAAUUAUAGAAGAACAUAAACAAUCUCAAUUAAAUAAAUUGAAUGAUAUAAAUUAAAAAUUAAUCAUAUGACAUGUUUGGGGUUUUGAAUUCACCAUCAACUAAAUAGAAAAUCUAGCCUAACAUAAUUAAAUUGGGAAUAAAAGAAUUGAUAAAACCAAUCACGGAGAUUAAUUUAAGCGGCUGCCUUUUUCUUCAAUUCCCUUCGGCUGGUGAUUUUUUUUUCUCCUUUGCGACUGCCAAUCUAUCUAUAUAUAUUAAGUUGGGACUUGAGGAGGUGAUGUGGCAUCACCAUUUCUCAUAUUUGUAUAUUCUCUAUUAUCUAAUAAAUAGAGAAAUUUUCUUUUAGAUUUGGCUUUUCAUCUACUCAUAAUUAAUUUGAUUGUUAUUACACAAUAACAAUUAUGUAAAGAUUUUAAUGAGGCAUAUUAUUUGUAGUGAACAUCCAAGGGGGGGUGUUAUGAAUUUAUUAAAAUAAAUGUAGAUGUUCAUAACAUAUAUCUCUUAGUCUCUCCACUAUCUCCCAUUAGCAACCUUUAGCUUUCCUAUAACUCCCACUAUCUCACAAGAAAUUAUGUUCCAUAAUUUUUCAUUAAUUUUAUGGAGUGAUUAUGUAACUAUAAAAGGAGAGCUCAUCUUUUUGUUUUGUACACACACAAUUGAAAUGAAUAAAAUUACUCUAUAAUAUAUUCUCUCAUUUUAUUCUUUAUCUUGCGUUGCUUCUUUAUUUGUAUUGUUGGCUAAUAGCUUUUUUUUGUUUUUUAUAAGGCUAAAAAAAAUCAAUUUAAAUUUUUUAUCAGUUUUAUCAAGUGUAAAGUAAGAAAAAAAGAUAAUACUAAAUUCUUUUUUCAAAGCCACGUGAAGCGCGGUUAUAUUUUCUAGUUGUUUUGCAUGUGUGGCUGCCGAAUAUAUAUUCCCCCUCGUGUUGCUUCCACUUGGCCCUUAUAUAAUGCUUCAAUUGUGGCUUUUAAAUCCUUGCAUGGAAAGAAUUAAAUCAAAGCAAAAACCGCCACUUUCAUAACGUGCUUGCCAUUUAAAUUGUCAUGCAAAACAUUUAAAUUACAUGCAAAAUAUUUCCAAUUAGAGCAUUCACAAACUCUUUUGAUUGGCCAUGCUUAAAGCCAAAAGGCUUUAUUCUUUUCUUCCUCUCACGUGCUGGAUGGCAAUCUCCUUUUUCCAAUUUUAGCUCCAUGCGAUGGCUUAGCUUGUAAUUGGCUUGGCUUCCUUUAGCUCCAUGUGUAAAAUUAAUUUUGCUUGGCCCGUACAAGCUCUAAUUGGAAAAUAUUCUUUAUUUCUCCAAUUCUUGAUCUCUUGUGCACUUUUGUCUCCCAAUCUUCAAUUCUUUUCUUAUUUUGAUUCUCUCAAUCAGAUUUCUUUCAUGAAUGCUCCGAUUUAAUAUCUCUUUAAUAUCAAAAAAUACUUAAAAUAACAAAAUAAAAAAACUAAGAUAAAAAAUAACACAAUAAAAAUAUAAUUUACUAAAUAAAAAAUUAACUAAAAUAACUAUAAUAUUUAAGACCAAAACAAGAAAAAGAUGGAGAAAUUAAUAGCAAAAUAUAUGAAAAAUAUGCACUUAUCACAUCUACACAUGUAAAGUGAUAAAUAGUAAAAAGUAUGUUAUAACUUUAAUCGUAUGAUUAUGAAGGAGUGUUCCACCGUGAAGCAGUUCCAACAUAGCCGGACUCAUCUUGAUAAUAUAAUAUGAGUAAUAAAUUGACACUUACUUGGCAAUUAAGUUAAUUAUUAAAAGAUGUCACACGAUUAGCAUUUAGAUAAUUGAUAAACCACAAAGUUAAAUAACACUAUAAACAUCAUAAUUAAUGACAUGUGUAACAAUGAUUUGAGACAAACUAUAUAAACCCCAGUUUCGUAAAUGUAAUACAAUAAAUUAUUAUUGUAUAUUAUAUUUCGAAUUCAUCCGUUACACCGUAAGAUUGAAUUAAUAAAUAUCAAAUAAAUUAAUGGUCAAUUAGCAUCAUUUUCAUCCGAUUAAACUUUCAUAAAAUAACAAUGAACAAAACCAUCCAAUAACUCAUAAAUAAUAAAUCAUAAUUAACUAUCUUAAACAAAUUCCUUAACAAUUACAACUACCGUCUUCAUUAUGUAAACAACAUCGGAGUAAAAGUAAAGCAGCACAGAAAACUCUAUGACGAGGUGGCAACUGGCAUCCAAGAUGACCACGGAGGUGGUGGGCCGAGAUCAGUUGGAUCAGGAGGUCCAGGUGGGCCCAUUGGACCACGAAAGCAGCCUUGUAGCAACCAGCAGCAGCACAGAAAGCUCAAGCUGUCAUAACAAACCCAACGACAAGCAACCGAACACCAGUAUUAGCUUUUUCCGCCAAGAAUUUUUUUUUGUCAACGUGUCAAUUUUUUCGUGAUUGUUCAGCUGCAUCUUAAGUUCCCAUUUUGACACGUGUCACUGUAUCUUUACACUACAUCAUGUAUCAACGAUGUUUACUUGGUGCACUUCAACAAUGAAUGGGACUAACAGAACAGCACAUGGAGAAUUUUGAUUUUUGAAAACCUCAACAUCUAAAUUCGAUGUUUAAUUACUUUCCAUGAACCGAUAACUUCACAAAAGCCACCGAAAGAGUCCAGCAGUCCAAGUAGUGGUGGACCCCACACAGGUGGCCCUCCAGGUCCUCCCGGUCCCAUUGCUAUUUGCUGAUUACUGUUGCCGGCUCUUUAAGCAAAGUUAGUUAACACCAAGGAAAUUAACAAGAGACUUUCAGAAGUCCAAACUCGCUCUUGCUUGUGUAUAUAGAGAUGCAAAAUGUUUUUAUGUUAAAUGAAAGUGGUACAAAUGCCAGAAGGUUUCUUGUGUUUAUAGAAAGUGCAAGCUUAGGAUUUAAGCAUCCAUCUUUGUUGCCACAUUUGCAUCUAAUACUUUCCAACUGCUAGUCUUCUAUGUCUAACAUUCAAGACCCUGCUCAAGAAUGAUAGCAAUUACCAAUCACACGCUCAUUCAAUAAUUCAAGUGAUAAUCUCUUAAGUUAAAACCCAUUUAAUAAUCUAUGGAGGAUUUGUGCCCACAAAUGUGACCGAAUGGUUUUUAAAUAAUUUUAUUUAAUUAGCUACCCAACUUCAAAUCUUAAGAGAAAUAAGGGAUUUAAACAAAAUGAAUUUGAUCAAAAUGAAUAUGGACUUUGCUCACUGCAGUGAAAAAAAAUAAAAUUACAGAAGAUUGAUCGACAGGAGUCUUAAGUGAUAAGCAAUUAGAUCAUAUUUUACUUUCCAGAAGAUGACAUGUCUCAAAGAGGUUUAAGCCAAGAAAUUCCCAAAACGCAAUAAUAGAUGAACAAGUGUGAUUAGAAAGUGCCACCAAGAAAUGAAAAGAAUACUAUAACUAAUAAAUCUAUAAAUCUCAUUUCCAUGAUGACAUUAUAGCAGUGGGUUACCAACCCCAAUUGAAUUAUAUAUAUAUAUUUACUCGAAAAUUAGGUUAGAGGGUAAACUGAUUACACAAAUUCUAUAGAAAAAUGGCCAAAAAGGCUGCCUUUUGCCUCUGUAUAUGUGAGCUAACUUCUAACUAGUAUUCUCUUCCAGAUAAUUCAUCCAUAUACAACUCUGCAAAUCACAAGAAUCCUUCACGAAAUGGCCGCCAAUCCAAUAGAUUUCCCCUCUUCAGUUUCUGUUUUCUGGGGCAUUAUCUGAGCUGCGUGGUCUUGCUGAAAAGAGAAUGCAACAGACUAGUAAGUAGACUACAUUUGAAGAAUUGCAGAUUCGCUUGAAUUGAAAAUAAAAAUUAAGGCAUUUAUUAAAAUGGCUUCUAGAACAGCUUAAGGGGUAGUAUGGGCAGAUUAGUAAAAGGAUGGAAGAAAAAUUAUGCAAGAAUGCUUACUUGAAACAUUUGUGAUAACAUUAACACUUUUCUGAGCAGCAAGAGCUUUCAACUUGUUCCCACUACCUAGUACAAGCAAGCUCCUCAUAUGUUGCUUUUGUUCCCUAGGACUAGCUGUCUUUGUUGUUUGGAUAUUCUCACUUCCUAUCUUUUGAAAAAGGGGAAAAAGAAAACUUGCUUAGCGACGCUUAAUUACUGCUGUUAAUAUUCUGGCCAUUUAACAAACUUAUGCCCAUCGUUUGGAAAACCAAAAAAAUACAAUUAUUUUUCCAAGAAUAUAAGCAUGAAGAAAACUGAAACUAAGAAUGAAAUCUGAGAGGUUCAAAAGGCAUAUAUAUGAAUUAAAAUGAAGUUGAUUAUAAUAAGGGCUAAUAUCAUCAUUUGCAAAGCAAAAAAACCAAAAUAAGAAGCUAGUUUAGAGUUUCUUAUCAGCUAGCUCUAAAGAAAGACAAGUGCAGAAAAUUAAAGAUGUUUUUUUAAACCUCUCUAAUCUUAAACAUAAGUAGUUGAGGUGCCGAAUGCAUGGAUGGAUCCAGUACCGUAAGUAACAAGGCAGCUUCUUCUAAUUAAGCAUAUCGUCCCGUCUGGUUAUUUCCGUUUGCCAGAACGCAACCUCACCCAUGAUCACAUAAUUAUCCACCAACAAAACAAUCGUUGCCAAGGUCAUAAUCAAGCCAUCAUCAGACAGCCCGUGCUCUCCACGGACGGCAGCAGCUAUAACCUCGUGAUAAAUCCAUAACAUUUUCCAUCCAGAAACGAUGUGCGGGACCCAAAUCUGCACUACGAAAAGCACCACGAAAGAAGUUGAGCAACAAAGGUACGUAAAUCGAGAGAAGAAAAUAAUACACAUUGAUGCUUAAAGAGAGCAGAACGCCGGCUCGCAUGCUUUGUGUGCAGACAUGAGAUAAAGCUACUGCGUAUUGUUCCCAGUAAAAGAUCGAAGAAGCUGAUUCGAUUCUGAUGCUGAAUCCCCAGACCAAGACUAAGGUUGGAGCAAGGGUUGCUAUGCCUGCAUAUUCAGAGCCCAACACCUCCGCGAACAACAUCAUCCAGCUGUUUAAGUUUGUGAUGAGCAUCAUUGUUAACAAAGAUAACAUGUCGGGAAGAAGCUCAUGAUUGUGGGUUGGCCAAAUGGGCAUUUUCCCUUUUUCUAAAAUAAUUUUUUCCUCGGUACUGUAUGUAACUUGUCUGUUUGGCUUCUGGGAAAAUAAAUAUGAGAGGAGAAAGCGAUUGGAGAAAAUUUAGCUGAAUUACACGAUGAGGAUUGGAAUUGAGGGAGUCCAAACCAUGUGCUUCUACUCUGUUAGUGCACAAAAUGGGAAAUGGCAGAGAACUCAAAUUAAAGCUUCACAAAAUGGGAAACACCUAUCUAAUAUAAAGUGUUGGGUGGAAGUGACAAAUUAACGAAUUUUGAAGGUCAUAGUCAAUUUAUAGACUUCAUUAAUUCCAAUAUCUUAUUAAUUUCUGACAUUGAAAAUUAACAUAUCGUAGACUUGUUGAGCUGUACAAAACUCGUAACUCAUUCCAGUCACUUUAUUUCUCAAAUUUAUGAUCUUUCAAAAAUCUUCUCAACUCCCACUGUUAUUGCCGGUUUUUCUGUUGAUCAAUUAAAAUUCAUUUCUUCUGUUUGAAUGCAGGCACAUUUAUUUUUCAUCAAUUUUUUUUAUUUACGCAUAUCUAUAUUUUGAGUAAUUGUAAAAAAUUAUGUAUGGGAAUUAAGAAUUAUUGUUAUGUUAUUAACCAAACUCUCAAGAUUUAAAAUGCAGUGGAAAGUUUUGUAUGUUUCAAUAUUAUUUUUUUCAAUAUUUUUUGGAGAAACAAUUGUUCAAAAAAAGUAAAGUCAAAGAGCGAGAAACUUUUGCCAAAAAUUGAAAAUAAGACUUGUACUCCAAGUUAUUGCUAUACGCCCACACAUAACAUAUAUCUCUAGAAUAAAAUGAUGAAUGAGUAUGUAGAAGAUGAAAAAUUCAAGAACAGACCAAUAAGUCUAAAAGAAGAAAUAUUAAUUAGAUGUGAAGAUGAUCGGUAUGAACUUAACGUGUUAUUGGAUUGUUUGAAAUCUUGUAUUGUGAAGAUGGAUACAAUAUUGAAGCUAAUCAUGACAAUGAGUGAACAUGAUAAAAUAAUCAGCGUUCAAAACAUUUGAGCAUUUUACAAUUUAAAUGCAUAGAGAAAUUGUAAGAUGGAUGGAGUGAUGAUGCCACAGAGGCAUUGAUUAAUAAAUUAAGGUUACUUGAUUUUAACCUAAAAAAACUUACUUGCCUUUUGAACUUUGUAACAGGCUAAUAUUUAUAUUUAAUUUUCUCCAUUAUUUUAGUAUUAUGUUUGUCUAUAUUGUUUAUCAUGAAUAUGGAUUUUAAAAUUUUAAGAACCUUGCUUUUAUAAUUAAAAAAAAAAGAGAAAAUAAAGAAAACAACGAACAACAGAAAUAGAUAACAAAUACAUAUUCUUUAAAAAAUUUUAAAUAAUUUAUAUCUAAAAAAAUAUCUAUCUUAACAUGAUUAUGUUCUUUUUACCUACUCACAAUCAAUAAUUUUAUGCAUUCUAAUAAAAUAGAAAUAAUUAAGUCAAAUAAAAAUAAAAUAAGUUCAUGAUCAACACCAACUACCAACAGAGAUGACAAAUAUUUUGUGAUAGAUUGUGGACAAAAUAACGUCUAUCAUAAAAGCAUGCGAGCUCGUGAUGGAAUUACAGUUUAUGAAGGACUAAUGACCAACUUUGUGAUAGAAUUAUUGACAAUCAUGAACUUAAGAUAUGGUCAAGACAAAAAAUUAUAUUAAAUAUUAUUUAAAAAUAAGCAAUGAAACGGUGCGUUUACAUAGUGCUUGAGUAAAAACACUCCAGCAUUUUCCAAGUCUAAUAAAUUAAUAGUAUAAUAUGGAAAUAUAAAACAUAAAUAAUAGGUCUGGAUAUAUGCUAGUUCAAGUGUAAAUUAAUAGUAUAUCCAGACCUAUUAUUUAUGUUUUAUAUUUCCAUAUUUUACUAUUAAUUUAUAUUAUUUCCAUAUUAUGCAAACUCAUAAACUCAAACCCUCACUUGAUCACUCAAAUUUCCAUGACGUCACUGCGUAUAUUACAAAGCAAAGAGAGUAACACUACUCCUCUUUCUCUUGUUGUCUACAUGCACGUUGGCAUUGAGAUUACUUAGUACGCCUGCUACUUAGGCUCAAACACAUGCUUGUGUGGUAUUCACAAUACUGGCUUUUCCUUUGCCCGUGAGCAUCAGAGAUUCGAGUGAACAAGUUCACAAUUCACCUAAUUUGCCGGAUUUGAACCUGGUCAGAAUUAUGGGUAAUAUGAAAACGCUAAGAUUGUGUGCAGAAGAAUCACCGCAAAGUCUCCCUCCCUUUGUCCUCAUAUAUACCUUUCUAAGAUCUCUAUAUAACUAUACAAAUUUUGGACGUGUGGAAUUAGCAAAAGGAUCAGGUAAUAGAAGUUAUCAUGUAAAUGUAAAUAUGUGAAUGAAUUUGAGUGGUCAAUGUCGGUGUCAUAAUUCAUUAGGAAUCAACCUUUGGAGCCAACGGAGUUAUUCUCAGAUAUUUCAGUGUGGAUGGUACAAAUUGAAAUAGGUGUGGCCCAGUUAUUGAGAUUAUAGUCUGGUGCCGCUUGUGCAACAUAGUAAGAUCAUUUGGUUUUCAUCCCUGAAGAAAUUUUGGAAAUGAAAGGCUUGAUCCAUUCAAAGGUAUAACUUAAAGCUUGAAUUUGCAUAUGGCCAAUCACCUACGCGGGUACAUCAUCAUUUUCUGCUCCCCGCGCAUAUCGCCCAAAGUUGCAUCCAUUUUCACUGUGAACAGCUUUAACAAAGCAAGCAUGACACUGAACACAUGAUGCAAUUCUUAGCAUGCAAGAGGGCUGGUGGUUAUUAGAAUCAAUAAAGCUGUUUGGCAAAAGAGAAAGUGAAAGAAAACUUUAACUAAGAAAAUUCUUAUUGAUUAAAAUAUGGAAUUAUUCAUUAUGAUUGUGUUAACAACUAUUUAUAGUUACACUAAAAACUGAUUACAAAAGCAGAGCUCAAAGCUGCAACGUUAACGAACUAAUCAGCCUUCCAAUCAUAAUGUGCCAGCUGGAUAAAUCGUUACAACUUAAUCAAAACCAAAUAACCACCCAAUCCAGCUCAACAGCUCAUCAUGUCAUCAGCCAGCUCAGCAGCUUUAGCUUAUACACUUAACAUCCCCCCUCAAGCUCAACCUGGUGUAGUCAGGGUGAGCUUGUCUUUCAGAUAAUGAAAAGGGUGAUAAGCUAAAGCUUUUGUAAGGAUAUCAGCUGAGUUAUGGGAACUGGGAACAUAACUAACUUGGAAGCUCUUAUUAGCAAUCUUUUCUCACAAGAAAUGAACAUCAAGUUCUAUGUGUUUAGUUCGGGAGUGGAAUUUGGGAUUGCUUGCUAAGGCAGCAGCACUUUGGUUAUCACACCAAAUGACAAGAGUAGAGACAAGAGAAAUACCAAUUUCAGUCAGCAAGGACUUAAGCCACAAAACUUCAGAUGUAGCCUUUGCUAGAGCUCGAUACUCUGACUUAGUGCUAGACCUGGACACCACUCCUUGUUUCUUUGAACACCAAGAAAUCAGAUUAGGACCAAAGUAAACAUAAUAUCCAGCAAUUGAUUUUCGAUCAUCUCUAUCAGCUGCCCAGUCUACAUCACUGAAACAAUCUAUGUGUAAGGGACCUUGAUUAGAAUACUUUAAUCCCAUAUGCAAUGUACCCUUUAGAUAUCUAAGAAUCCUUUUGCAUGCUUGUCAGUGAUUAUUUAUUGGUGUAGCUAGAAAUUGGCUGAGUUUGUUGACUGGAAAUGCUAUCUCAGGUCUGGUCAAGGUAGCAUACUGAAGAGCUCCAAUUGUGCUUCUAUACAAAGUUGCAUCAGCAAAGAAUUCAUUGUCAGUUUUGGUAAGUGGAACAUUGGCAGCCAUUGGAGUAGAGCAAGGAGUACAAUCUUGCAUCUUAACUUUGUUGAGAAGAUCAGCUAUAUACUUUGUCUGAGAGAGAUGUAACCCUGUGUCAGUUUUGGUAACUUGAAUACCAAGAAAAUAAUGCAAUUCUCCAAGGUCUUUUAGAGCAAAUGUAGUCUGCAGAUUAGUAAUGACUUGUUGAACCUGUUACAAUAAUGUCAUCCACAUAGACUAAUACCAGCAAGAGAUGACCUUGAAUCCUCUGAAAAAAUAGAGAAUUAUCAGACUUGGAAUUCUUGAAGCCCCAUUGAUUAGUUAAGACUGUUUUUAAUCUAUCAAACCAAGCUCUAGGGGCUUGUUUGAGACCAUAUAAUGUCUUUUGAAGUUUACAGAUGUGUGUAGGUUUAGAUUGAUCCACAAAGCCUUGAGGUUGCUGCAUAUACACUUCUUCAGUAAGAUAGCCAUUGAGACAAGCAUUGUUUAUGUCAACUUGUCUCAUUGACCAGUGAUUAAGAACAGCCAAACUCAAAAUAAGUUUAACUGUAGAAGCCUUCACCACUGGACUAAAUGUUUCAUUAUAAUCAAUGCCUUGAGUUUGAUGGAAACCCUUUGCUACAAGUCUGGCUUUGUACCUUGAAACACUACCAUCUGCAUUAUGUUUAAUUCGAAAUACCCACUUGUUUCCUACAACUUUGACAUGAGAUGUAGGCUGAACAAGUGUCUAAGUCUGAUUUUUAACUAAGGCUUGAUAUUCUUCUUGCAUUGCUUGAAGCCACUUUGGAUCACUUAGAGCAGCUGAAACUAUAAGUGGUUCUGUUGGCUUAGGAUUACAUUCAACUAGAUAGGCCUUUUUUGGUUUGAAGAUUCCCAUUUUGGAUCGAGUAGUCAUGGAAUGUCCAAUUAUGGGUUGUGAAGGUGAAGAUAGAUGAUGAAGAGGUUGAGAAGAUGAUUGCUGAUUUAUAGGACUAGGAGUAUGAGACAACAAUUGAUUUUCUGAACUGGACAGGUUUGAGGUGGAAGGUAAAGCAAUUGCUGAAGGUGCAGAUUGAGAGAAAGAUCUAUCAAGUUGUGCAGCAGUCUGUGAUAAUGUGAAUGAGACAAGAGGAUUGGAAGAAGUAGACUCAUGUAAAGAAUCAGAACAUGACUUUGUAGAAAAUUUUUCAACUGACUGGAAUGGAAAAGAGGACUCAUCAAAGGUAACAUGAUUACUUAUAUAGACCCUUCCAGAAGGAUGAAGACACUGAUAACCUUUGUGAAGUGAGUUAUAGCCAAGGAAGACACACCUUUCACUUCUGAACUGGAGCUUAUGAUGAUUAUAAGGUCUGAGAUAAGGGUAAUAGGAACAACCAAAAACUUUCAUCAAUGUAUAAUCUGGUGGUUUGUGAAAUAGUUUCUCAAAUGGUGAUUUAUUGUUGAGAAUAGGUGUAGGAAGUCUGUUAAUGAGAUAUGUGGCUGUAUGAAAUGCAUUCCACCAGAAUUUGAGUGGCAAGUGAGCUUCGACAAGAAGUGUGAGGCCUGUUUCAACAAUAUGUCUAUGUUUUCUCUUUAUUUUCCCAUUUUGGUGAUGUAUAUAAGGGCAUGGAUGUCUAAAUUAUAUGCCUUGUUCAGAGAGAUAUGACACAAAAGGCCUGAAUUCCCCACCCCAAUCAGAUUGUAAGCAUUUGAUUAUCAAAUUCAGACAAUUUUCAAUCAUGUUUUUGAAGUCAACAAAGGCUGACAGAGUUUUAGAUUUUGCAGUAAGAGGAAAUAUCCAAGUGUAUCGGGUGUAGUCAUCUAGGAUAGAUAGAUAGUAGGAGUAUCCUUGGGAAGAGGUAAUGGGAGCUGGUCCCCAAAGAUCAACAUGUAACAAUUCAAGGGGCUGAGUGGUUGAGGUUUCUAUUGAAGGAAAAUGCUGCAUAUUGGAAACAUGUAACCCUUGCCUAGUUGACAAGCAUCACAAAACUGUGAUUUUGAGUAUUUGGAAUGAACAGAAGUUGAAUCCAGGCAUUUCAUAAUUUGUUUUAAAGCAUGAAUUGUGGGAUGACCCAUUCUUUUGUGCAGUAAACUAUAAUCAACAGUCUUAUUACAUGAAGCAACAUGAGCCAUAGAGGCAUUCUUAUUGAAUUGAGGACUAUUUACAGCCAUAAGAGGAGAAGUCUCAAUAUCAAAGGAAUUCAAUUGAGUAAACAUAGACACUAAAACUGCUGACAAUGGACUUAUUGGAUUAAAAACAGACUCAGAUGAGGUCGACACUGGAAUAACAGGACUUGAGUUAUCACAUACUGCAUUUAAACUUGAAACUUGAUAAAGACCUCCUUUAGCAAUCCCCUUGAGCAAUGUGAUCCUUCAGUUCUUAUCCUUAACGAAACAGACAUGGUUGUAAAAUUCAAUGAAAACAUUGUUAUCAGCAAGUAAUUUGGAAACACUGAUAAGGUUUUUAGUAAUUGUAGGUACAUGUAAAACAUGAUUCAGGUAAAUAGGUUUUGUAGGCAAGGUUUUAAUAGCAUCAGAUCCAACAUUAUGAAUAGGCAAUCCCAUACCAUUUCCUACAUGCAGUUUUUCACAGGCAUGGUAAGUUGAGUAUUUAGAUAGUAUACCUGCAUCUUGAGCAAUGUGAUUAGUUGCUCCAGAGUCAAGGUACCAGGCUGGAUCAACUACACUGCUAUAGUUUGCCAAUUGUGCAGAGGGAGGUACAUUAUGAGGAAUACCAAUAUUUCCAGCAUACAUGUUUGCUGUUUGAGCCCCAUUAUAUGCACCAUUUGCACUUUGAAAAUCAAAAACACCUUGAGGAUUCAUGAUACCUGGAUUAUGAUAAGCAACAUAACCAAAGAAAGGUCUAGUUUGUCUAGGAAAAUUAGGCCUGAAUCCAGAUCCAAAACCAGAACCAUUGUACCCAGAACCUCUGCCAAAAUAAUUUUGAUUAUUUUCAGGAAAUCCUCUAUAAUUCUGACCUCCACCUCUUGGCCUAAAUGCAUCAAAACCUAUGUUUCUCGGAAUAAAACCCUGAUUGAACCUGUGUUUACACUUAUAAGUGACAUGGCAUGGAAUGAAAUAGAUUUGACACACAUCUUUUCCAGGACCAGUACUACUGUUCUGAAUAUUAUCAUAAGCACUAAAAGUACCAGCACCUACAUUUUUCUGAUUAUAUCCAGAUCUAUUAUAACCUUGGCCCUUCUGAGCAAAAUUUGUUGUCAUAUCAUGCAGAGAUUCAUUAUGAGAUUUUCCUUUGCUCAUUUCUAACCUAGUUUCAUGACUAAGCAUCAUAGAAUACACCUCCUCAACAGUGAGUUUCUCUUUUUCCAGUCUAGUAAGUAUAUUUGUAACUAAAGACUCAUAGUUAUCAUCUAAUCCAGUAAGCAAGUGCAUAAUCAAUUCAUUUAAAGUAACUGAAUUACCUCUGAUGGCCAAACUAUCAGCAAUUUUCUUCAUUUUAUUAAAAUAAUCACUUACUGAGAGUGAUCUUUUCUUUGUUGAUUGAAGUUGCAUCUUCAAAGGCAGAUACCUCGCUUUAGAUUGUGACAUGAAGAUUUCGGUAAGUAUCUCCCAAAGCUCAAGUGAUGUUUCACAGUUGAUCACCAUGAUUAACACGUUAUCCACCAUUGACGACAGCAUCCAGCUCUGCAGAAGCUUAUCGGUUUUCAUCCAUAAAGCAUAAUCUGGAUUUUUUUGUUUCUGUGAAGCUUCAGCUCCAGAUCUUCCAAGUUCUUGAGUUGAUUCAGUGAGAUAACGUUCUGGACACACAUUCUCACCAUUAAUAAAGCUUUCAAGUCCAUUAGCAAUGAUUGAUAUUCUAACUUGAGCCUUCCACACUAGAUAGUUUGAUAUGUUGAGCUUUACAGGUUGAACAAAGUGAAAUAAGAGUGAGGAGGAAGCUAUAUGAUUGGAUCCAGACAUAAGUGUUUGCUCUGAUACCAUAUUAGAAUCAAUAAAGGUGUUUGGCAAAAGAGAAAGUGAAAGAAAACUUUAACUGAGAAAACUCUUAUUGAUUAAAAUCUGGAAUUAUUCAUUAUGAUUGUGUUAACCACUAUUUAUAGUUACACUGAAAACUGAUUACAAAAGCAAAGCUCAAAGCUGCAACGUUAACGAACUAAUCAGCCUUCCAAUCAUAACAUGCCAGCUGGAUAAAUCGUUACAACUUAAUCAAAACAAAAAAACCACCCAAUCCAGCUCAGCACGUCAUCAGCCAGCUCAGCAGCUUCAGCUUAUACACUUAACAGUGGUGCUGUUAACAUACAAGAGUUCCUUUAAACACUUCACUAGCUAAACCCCAACCCCCCCCCCCCCCCUCCCGCCUCCGCGCCCCGGGGAGCCCAAAAAUGCUUGAGGGAAAUCCUACCAGGCCUUAACAUGGUUUCACCACUGUCAAAACCUGAAAUUUUGCAUAUGAUUGGAGUUUUUUUUUUUUUCCUUUUUCAUAGAUAAUUUUUUUGAAUUCUUUGCUGCAUAAAUCCAAUUCAGUUUCUUUUAUUUCACCGGUGUAAUAUAAUAAAACAUAAGGCAAAAUAAAAUGUGUAUUCAGACUAGUUAACCAUGUACAAUCUUGCAAUAGCCAAUAGUUCAUGCAGUGUAGAAGGAGAACAAAUGUUUGUAUUGGAUAAUCAAGAGCUGCUGCUGGACCUACCGUAAGUAAUAAUUUCUUGUAGUUUUAUCAUUGCCAGGACUUCAAAAUCUAAACUUCAAAACCUUAAACACGCUUUGCUUUUAUCUUCAACGGAGUGAAUGAACUGGAAUUGAUGGGCAAGUCAACGAGGUGUCACAUUUGAAAGAGUAACCUCAUUAACAGAGCAAACUUCGGCACCCGAUGAGAAUUGACCUGGCCUUGCAACAUUUCGGCCUACAGAAAAUGCAGGUUCGGUUGGUUGAGGAAGUGUUACAGUAUCGCUUGCUAACAUAACAACCACAGAAGACAUGGUAGGUCUGUCUGCUGAGUCUGCUUGAACACAUAAUAAUCCAAUAUGGAUAAAUUUCAAAAGUUCAGCAGCAACGCAUGACUGCUUGAGUACUGGUUCCAUCAGCUCCAAUGCUUCUCCUUCACACCAUAGUUUCCAUGUCUAUAAUAUUGUUAUACAGGUCAUAAACAAAGGUGAGACUCAAAAUCAUUGGAUAUUAUUCUUCAGAAAGAAAGAUAGAAAGUCACUUACAUAAGAAAGGAGGCUUUGACCAAGUUCAGAUAGAUAAAACCCAGUGUUCUUUUUCCCACUGAUGAUUUCUAGCAGUAGAACGCCAAAACUGAAAACAUCUGAUUUUACGGAAAAUAAUCCUUCCAUAGCAUACUCUGGGGCCAUGUAUCCACUGUUUGAAAACAGAACAACAUAAGAUCAAAUGCCAUAGAAAAGCUAAUGACCUAUGUGACCUCCGUAUUUUGAAUCUGGUGACAUGAUCAUGAGGUCACAUAUUCAAACCAAAUGCAAUAGAAUACUGUUAGCAAAUUAAUUAUUGGAAACAGAGAAAACAGAGAGAGGUGGGAAUGGAAUGCACUUACUAUGUUCCAACAAUUCUAUUGGUAUUAGCUUCACUUUGGUUUCCACCAAAUAUCCUAGCCAUCCCAAAGUCUGAUAUCUUCGGGUUCAUCUCAUGAUUGAGUAAAACAUUACUAGCUUUGAGAUCACGAUGAAUAAUUUUGAGUCGAGAGUCCUCAUGUAAAUACAAAAGACCCCGAGCAAUUCCAUUAAUGAUGCUUAUGCGUCGUUUCCAGUCCAGUUGUACACUCCUCGUUGAAUCUGAUAAUGAAUUAGACACAGCAUUUAACCUGAUUAGCUACUUUGUCAUCUACUCUUCUAUGGAAAGGAAGCGGGGAAAAUAAUAGGAAAUGGAAAGACUUGGCUACAAUUGCCAUAGUGCCUAGUAGGGGGCAUAUAAUGUGCAAACCAUAUAACAGGGCCACUUCAAUUAUACAAGCUGGAAUUACACAAAACAACCACAGGUUCUAUUUGCACAACUUAACAACUAGCAAUUAAGGAAAUAGAAAGUCUGAGAAACAAACCAAAGAGGAAGACAUCAAGGCUUUUAUUGGGCAUGUACUCAUAUAUAAGCAGUGAUUCAUUUUCCUCUAAGCAGCAGCCGAACAGCCUCACAAGAUUUUUAUGUUGCAAUUUGGCGAUUAGAGUAACUUCAUUCUUGAACUCUUGUAGGCCUUGCCCAGAUGUUCUUGAGAGCCUCUUCACUGCUAUUUCCUUGCCAUCUGCUAAUUUACCCUGCAAGCAACUUUCCAUUAUUGUUACCGUGAAAGUUUUGUAUGCGUACGGAAAACGCAAGUUUCCGCUGACAUGAACUCAUUUCCAAAUACUGCAUUCGGUGAAUACUUAUGUAUAUUUAAACAAGCGUACAGUAAAAGUGGAUUGGUAUGAUUAAUAGUUGCUUUUUUAAGCAACUGUACUAAAGUGUUUAGUAAAUUAUUACUUAGAAACUAAGUUAAUUUAUACUAAAAUGUUUAGUAAAUUAUUGCUUAGAAACUAAGUUAAUUUAAUCUCACAUUUGUAUGAUGAAAAAAUUAUAUUUUUUUUUAUAAUUUUUAUCAAAAUUAUCAUUUAAAAAUCAUAUGUACUUGUCAAAAAUUUUAUUUUAUAAUUAUAAUUUUUUUUCUUUUUACAGUAAUUAUAACUUAAAUAAUAUAAUACCUUGAUAUGAAAUACGACCUUAAGCAUCCCUUUAUAAUUACCUUGUAAACAGCCCCAAAUCCGCCUUCUCCAAGCUUAUUUUCAUCAGAGAAAUGCUGCGUAGCUUCAACUGCGAGAUGUAACGGAAACAAAGGGAACUCUUGAGAUUCUUCCUGCUUCUGUCCUCGUAAAGCAUCAUACGUAUAGUCGUUGCCAAGUCUACCGUCUGCUAGAUGAAGCAGCCCUGUCUCUUGACUAUUUGCUUUCUCCUCUGCAAAACAACGGAUUAAUUAACUUCGUAAACUAUGAAUUAGAACAAGGGAGUGGUCGAGUUACCUUUGACCCUUUCCUUUCUUCUCUUUAUACACCGAAGUAAAAAACUAAAUAGCACAAGUACUAUAAUUGAUGAUACAGUGGCGCCGAUUGCAAUCCAUGUUCUGCUUUCCCUCGUUUUCUUCUUUCCCGAAUCUAACAUAUAGCCAAGUUAAAGAAUCUCUGAGGAAAACUCUUUCUACAUCUUAUGUUAUGUUUAAUUUAUAUAAAAUUAAGGAACCUGAGAUUUACGAACUCACCGUCGGAGCUACCAUUCGUCUUAUUAGGUGGAUAGAUGGGAGCCGUAGGGUCCUCAAAGAAAGGGUACAUCUCGUAUCUUAUGACACAACUUAGCGAAAGGGCUCUAACACCUCGCCUUCCGUAGCAGCAGGAUGAAAGUCGAGAAACAGUAGCGCGCAGGCAAAUAUUGCAGUCAGAUCUAGACAGAUAUGGUAUCACUGCACUAGAGUCCAAAUUCUGUCAAUGCUAGAGGCGUUAACUAUUUGGGCUGCAGCUGCAUAUUUUGAGUUAGAAUCCCUUGAGGUUGCAUUUUGAAUUAGAUCACUGAAGGACUGAGCCAAAAUAUUAGAGAACUUAUAAGGGUCAGUAACGUUCAUUAUAUUCCGUAGGUAUACAGUUUCCGAUGUAUUUAGCGAAAAGGGAAAAGAAUUGUUAGAGAAGCGCACCAUACACUGAUCAUACCAUACAAUAGCCACCUUGGCGCCAGUACAAUUUUUCGCAAUGGUAUCGAAUGCAACUUGUAUGCAGUCUUGGCAUGCCUCAUAAGAAACGUCGAAUUUACAAUUGUAAAUACCAUAAACUUUGUCUGGGUAAUCCCCUUCAGUUGUCUCGUUGUAGAGAGAACGGCCACCUUCAUUGUAGAGCUUUUCCUUGAGUGUCGCAAGGUUAUACAUGAAUAUGUCGCCCGAAGCAGUAUUGUUUUCUCGUGGGCAGGCAUGGUAGAGAUAAUUAUUGGAGUCAAGUUUAGCCGCCUCUGACGAACUUUGUAACAGAACUAAAGAUAGAAAUGAAAAAAGGUGAAGCAGGUUAACUGUGCUUCUAGUUCUCGGGCCAAAUAAUACGAGCAGAAUCGGCAUCUUCCCCUUGCUCUUCAAUUCUGAAAAUUUUGAGUUCCAAUGUCAAGAGGCUGAAUUAAGGCACAAGCAUCCAACUAGAAGUAAACAGGAUUAAUGAUGAAUACAAGACGAGUUAACAUAUUAGAAAAGUCGUGGGUCACAUUUAAUUGAGAUGGUAAAAUUUCUUAUGUUGAAAAAUAAGAAAUUUUAUUUCUUAUGUUGAAAAAUAAGAAAUUUUAGGUUCGAAUCCCAUUCACAUAACUUGUAUAGUUGUAUUGGGAUUGGAUUUUCAUUAAGCUAAAUAACCAAAGACCAAUGAAAUUGAAAAGUCAAACAAAAGACCAUUGGUGAAGUCUAAGAAACCAAGGAAGUCUGUACAACGCGGAUCAUUGAUAGUUUCCUGGCAUCCUCGUAUUGGAGAUUAAGAACAGGAGGUGUUUUUUUUUUUAAAAAAAAAACUUAAAUAGACCUAAUUAAUAAAGUUAAAUGUCUGAAUUUGAAUGAUAUAUUUAUCUUUUUUGUGUCUAAAUUCAUAUAAAUAAAUAUUAUUUUUUUUAACUUAAAAAAUCUGAAAACUAAUAUUUUAAUAUUUGUACCUUUACAAAUUAUAAAUGUUAAACAAAUAAUAAAUGUCUCAAAGAAUAUAAAUAAGAUAAUAUAAUAUCAUAAUUUAAAUAAUUUUUAAUUAAAUACAAUCUUUUUAUAUUCUGAAUUCGUAUAUAUUAAUUAAUAUUAUUACAGUUAUGAUGUUUUUAUAUAAAAAAUAUUCAUAAAAAAUUAUAAAGUUAAAUAAUGAAACGACCAUAAAAAAGUCGUGCAUGUCUGUGGAGGCCCUACUUAAUUAAUUUUCAAAGACGCGGCCAGCCCAAACAGCACGGAAUUAGACUUAAGAAAGUCAUCUCUUUAGCAGGAAUUAUUAUUCGCCGGCGAACUUUCAUCAAAUGACCAGAUUCAAAACAAGAAAAAGAAACUCAAUCAAAUGAAAUUCUUAAAGUAAUAAUUAUACAACACAUUUUUCAGUGUUAAAAAUAAUUAUUAAUUAUCAAAUUACCAAAGCCUAUUACUUAUCCACGGAUUAAGAUGAUUACUUUGAAAAGUUUUGUUAUAUAUAUUUCACUGAUGAAUCUGACGGUGGAUGACAGUUUGAUUGGUACUUUCCUUUAGAGGGAGUGAGUUAGGAUGCACUUUUGCUUAGGACAAGUUGAAAGAAUCAUACAUAAACUUUGAAGCAUAAAUUAAACUAACUCCUGCUUAGGAGAAGUUAAGAUCGUGAAAGAAUUAUAUUAAGCUUUUAGACAUAAAUUAAACUAACUAUGAUCGAAUUCACCACAAAUGUAUAACAUAAUUUGUUGUGUAUAUAACUGUAUAACAUAGAUUAAAAAAAUUAACUUUUUUGUGUCUUUAGAACUAAUAGGUAUAUACCAUAAGAUAUUUCUUGAUAUCUCACACUAAGUAUUAUGAACUCAUAGUAGCUAAAGGUCGACAAUAAUAGAAGUCAAGGUCGACAAUAAUACAAGUCAAGUUUUCAUCUUAAUUUUUAAAAGAUUAAUAAAAUUUUACAUUACAGAAAACAAAUUGUUAUACUUUAUGUUAAUAUCAAUAAUUUACCUAUUGCAUAAAGUAUGAUAAUUUGAUAUUGCAUAAAUCUGUAAAGUAUAAUAAUUCACACAUGCAGUCACAUAUGUAACCCAUAUAUCAACAUUUUUCAAAAAAAUAAAAAAUAAAAAUCUAUAGAUCACCAUUCAAAAAAUAAAGAAGGAAAAAAUGAAUUUAAGAAAAUGAUUACGGUUUAAGUAAGUUAGGAGAGAAAAAUGGGAUUAAAAGAUAAAAAAUUAAAUGAGAUCUGUAUGAACCAAAGAUGUAAAGUUAUUUUUAUUUUAAAGGAGUAUUAAAGAAAAUGUUUUUUUUAGAAGGUUUAAAAGAAGGAAAGAGUUUAUAACAAUAGUUUAUUGAAAAAAUUAUAUGAUAAUAAUUUUACCAAUUAUAAAAUUUAUCUCCAAUAAAUAAGUGUUGGUGCCGAAGAACGAUCUCAACAACUGAAUUUGUUUCUUUUGGGGAAUUACAGCACGAAUCCAAGCUCAAACGCAAGUCUGUUCGUAACUUUCUAUACCUGCUAACCAGAAAACACGGUUAGGAUACGCCGGUGGGGUUCCGGCGUAGACCCUCCAAUGCUUAAGUCAGAAAUUAUGUAUAAAAGGAGAAAAAUGAGAAUGACGAAUAAUGAAUGAGUUAAAGUCGAGUAAUUUUCCGGUAGAGUGGCUGAAAAUCUUGUAUAAGCUUUGGUUCAUUUUGUUAACCCCUUCACCUGAUGCGCUCUUCAGUUUAAAUAGGCUCUUGGUCGUGCGCGGUUACCUCUUUAACUUUAACUAGAUGAAACAAUCGUGUCUCUUGACUAUUUGCUUUCUGCUCUGCAUAACAACGGAUUAAUUAACUUCAUAAACUAUGAAUAAGAACAAGGGAGUUGUUAAGUGAAUAAAAACACCAGCUCGGCCAUGUCAUCAACCCCACACCGAAGUAGUCGAGUGGUACGAGCAGAACACUGGUAAUAAGCCUUCUACAAACAUGGGACGACCAGAAACAAGUACCAACCAUAAAAGUAUACCGACCAGAGACAUAUACCGAGCCGAUACCCAUCCCCCAGAGAGUGGGCACACGAUCCAGAACUAUUGAGGGGGAGGCGAGAUCCCACGUUUGCCCAAAGUAAAACAGUUAGAGUCCCACUAGGGGCUACCGUUACCUGAAAAACAAGGGGAAGAAAGCAGUUAGAGUCACACUAGGGGUUGCCACUACCCGAGAAAAGGGGAAGGAAUGGAGAAGGAAAACGGGGGGAGAGCGGCUAUAAAAGGGGAAGAAGUCGAUGAAGGAGGGGACAGAAAAACCAAAGAGAGGGAGAAUACUGCCAAAUCGCAACCAAUGCCAUUUUCUUACAAACUCCGAAUAGAUUAAAAGUCGUUCUUGAAUCCAAAUUGAACCGUUUUCUCGUGAAACAUCUUGUGCUAACUUAGGCAUCGGAGGGUUUACGCCGGCAAAACCACCGGCGUCUCUGAUCCAUUUUUGGUGAAUGCAGGUCUAAUAAGAGAAAGGAGGGCGAUUCCAACCCCAGUAGUUCAAGCAGCAGCUGAUAACAUAAACGUUGGUGAAAGAAUUUGGUCGGUCCAAGAGCGAGCAGAUUUUAGCAUCAACAUUUUGGCGACGUCUGUGGGGAGCUGAAUAAAAAGCUACCACCGAAUUAGUAGUUACCAGAGAAGCAGCGAACGGUUAGAUAUGGAUGUAUCAAAGAAGAAUGUUUUGAGGAAGGACAAUGAAACGGUGGAGACAAUCACUCUCCGGGAAAUUACAAACGAAGCCCGAGAGAGGGUGAUGCAAGAUCGGCUGGAGCGAAUGGAGAAACAAAUGGAGACUCUCGCGGCCCUACUAGGAGAGCUGAGGGAUGAACGUAGAAGGGAUUGUGAAACCCCCGUGGGAAGAGAUGAAGUUGGAGCAGGACCCAGCCUCCGGAGGCGUAAGGUUGAGGAAAUCCCUCCGCCAGCAGACCAACCUAAUGGGGUUCAUCCCCACAGAAGUACUGGUCCGGUUCCAGCAGAACAGAUGGAUGAAGGGAGGGACCAACCUCACCCCGGACGGGUAUUUGAAAUUGAUGGCCGAGCAGCCAAUGCUGAUGAAGGAGAAUUAAGACAGCGGUUGCAUAACGCCAAGCAGGAACGAGAUCAGAUAGCUGCGCGUGAUCCUGAUCGAGCUGUAGAAUUGGAGGGAGAGGUGCGCAGAUUGGCACAGAUGAUGGAGGAGAUGCAGGGCAAGAGAAAGCCCCCGAGCUGGAGAAUAAUGUUAGAUGAAGAGUCUCCGUUAUCAAUCGAGAUCAUGGGUACCGUAAUCCCAAAAGACUUCCGCUUCUCCGACCUCAAAUACUCUGGGCGAAGUGACCCGCUGGUGCACAUCGAGCGUUUCAACGACAUGACGGGUGUGCAGGGGCUAACACCAGCUCAAAGGUGCAGGGUGUUCCCAUUGACCCUAGAAGGACGAGCCCGAGAGUGGAACUGAUGGGGAUGAAACAAGAGAAACAUGAAUCCCUUCGAGAUUUUGUAAAACGAUAUCACCGAGCCGUAUUGGAUCUGGGAGCUCGUAAUCACCCGCAGGCGUUGAGGGGAUUAAAAGAAGGUGUAAGAAUCGGCCGAUUGUGGUAUAACUUAAGAAGCCCCCUAGUACAGAAUUACUCAGCGGGGUAUGAGCAGGCGAGGCGAGAUAUAGAAAUCGAAGAGGAGAAAGCGGCAAGAAUAAAAAGUGAACAGCUGGAAGAGCUGAGGCGAAAGGAACGAAGAGCCCCGAACGGGAGCGGGUCGGGAAAGCGAGCUGGGGAAUCUUCAGUAAUGGGCGGAGUAUCAGCUCGGUCCCGCACUUACCCCAUAACUCCGAGAUCACAACAGCUCCAACACAGCCGGGCUCAACCUCCGCGCCCCCCGUUCCCAGAGCGACAGCGAGAAUUAAGGCAGAUGGCUGCCCACCCUUAUCAAAACACUCCUAGAGCGUUAAAUGCAACUAAUUCCAGGUCGAGACAACCAGAGCAGCUACCGGCUAUACCAGCCCGAGGUGACAUUCAUGAUAGCCGAGCAGUCCAAUUGGUUGACCAGAGUAUGACAUAUAGACAGUACACUCCAUUAAAAAUCUCCAUGGAAGAACUGUAUGAAAGGAUCGAGGGACGAGGCCUGCUGUACCCUCCAGCCCCUAUAAUAAAACCUGCUCACCGACGGGAUAAGAACAGAUUCUGUAAAUUCCACGACACUCACGGUCACACUAUCAGCCAAUGUCGUGACCUAAAGAUUCAGGUGGAGGAUUUAGUGAGGAACCGGUACUUGGAUAAGUAUGUAGAUGGAAUGUCCCCCGUCAUGGAAUCGCAAUACGCACAGGAUGAAGGAGUUGAGAGAGGUCUGGAACGAGAACAGCCGACCAUCCGUGUGAUUGCAGGAGGGCUAACGUUGGCCGAGGAUUCAAAUAGAGCACGAAAGAACUAUGGAAGAUACGCCAUGACUAGCAAAGAGGUGCUCCUCAAUUUGCCAGCAGCCAAGAGGGCAAAAGUACGGCAAGUUCCCAUUAUGUGGACAGAGGACGACGAAGAGGGCAUUUCAUAUCCUUAUGAGGAUGCACUGGUGAUUAGGGCAUUGGUGGCUAGCACAGAAUUGCGACGAAUACUGGUGGACACGGGCAGCUCAGUAGACAUUCUGUUUAAAUCGGCCCUAGAUAAUAUUGGGAUUUCAGACUUGAAGCUGGAGCGGACGAAUACAUCCUUGAAGGGAUUUGGAGGAGGACGGUUAACUCCCAUGGGAAUCAUCGAACUCCCGAUUACUGUGGGGUCAAAACCGUUUGAAAGAACGAUGAUGCUGAAUUUUGUCGUGGUAGAAGAAAGAAGUCCUUACCAAAUGAUACUGGGGAGACCCUUCAUAAGGAUAAGCCAAUGUGUAAUGUCCACGCACUAUCUGGCAUUGAAGUACAGAAUAAAUGGAGUUAUUGGCGUAGUAAAAGGAGACCAGAGAAUGGCAAGGAGCUGCUAUGCUACAGCAGCCAAGGAAACACUGCAGGUUACCUCUCUAGAUAACCGAGGGGAUUCAAAAAAUGGUCGCCAAGAACCUGUUGAGAAGCUGGAGGGAGUUAUUGUAAGCAGGAAUGACCCAAGUAGAGUGGUUAAAAUCGGGUCGGAAUUGGGCGAAGCAAUAAAGGGCGAGCUGGUGAAGUGCCUACAAUCCCAUGCAGACAUAUUUGCCUGGUCUCAUGAGGAUAUGCCAGGAAUCGAUAGAAGGGUAGCCUGCCACAAGUUGGCAAUCAAGAGAGGAGCAAGGCCGAUGAGGCAGAAAAUGAGGUGCUUCAACCAGGAAAGAUACGAGGCCAUAAAUGUCGAGGUGGAAAAGCUGCUGAAAGAAGGAUUUAUAAGGGAAGCCAAGUACCCGGAGUGGAUUUCCAAUGUAGCACUGGUAAAAAAGGCCAACGGGAAGUGGAGAAUGUGUGUAGACUUCACAGACCUCAAUAAGGCAUGCCCGAAGGACAGCUUUCCUAUACCAAAAAUAGAUCAGUUGGUGGAUUCAACCGCGGGUCAUAGUCUGCUCAGUUUCAUGGAUGCUUUUUCGGGAUACAACCAGAUACCCAUGGACGAGCAGGAUGAGGAAAGCACCACCUUUAUAACUAACAUGGGUUUGUUUUGUUACAGGGUGAUGCCUUUUGGCCUGAAAAAUGCAGGAGCUACCUAUCAAAGGCUAGUGAACAAGUUCUUCAAACCAUUGAUUGGUCACACUAUGGAAGUAUAUGUGGAUGAUAUGAUCACAAAGUCAAGGGAACCGAGAGAUCAUGUGAAGCACUUGGAAGAGACCUUCGAAUUACUGAGGAGGUAUGAAAUGAAGCUGAACCCGGAGAAAUGUGCAUUUGGGGUCAGCUCGGGCAAAUUUUUGAGAUACCUGGUGAGUCACCGAGGAAUUGAGGCCAACCCGGAAAAGAUUCGGGCGGUGAUAGAAAUGAAGUCCCCACGAACAGUUAAGGAGGUGCAGAGCCUUACGGGAAAACUGGCGGCAUUGAACCGAUUCAUUUCACGGGCCACUGAUAAAUGCCACCCUUUCUUCCAUAUCAUAAAGAAAUGGAGGAAGAUGGAAUGGACAUCAGAAUGCGAGGAGGCAUUUGGACAGCUGAAGGAAUACCUAGCCUGCGCCCCGCUACUAUCAACUCCGAGAGAGGGUGACCAACUACUUUUGUACUUGGCAAUCUCUAAGUGGGCUACCAGCUUGGUCUUAGUCAGGGAAGAAGAAGGGAAGCAACACCUGGUAUACUACACAAGCAAUGCCCUGGUAGACGCAGAAACCAGAUAUCCGCUAAUGGAGAAGUGGGCACUAGCUCUAAUAACAGCAGCACGCAAACUCCGACCAUAUUUUCAAGCCCACCAGAUCGUUGUGAUGACUGACCAGCCCCUUCGGUAAGUGCUUCAGAAACCAGAUGCAUCUGGUCGAUUAGUAAAAUGGUCCGUGGAACUGAGCGAAUUUGACCUGUCCUAUAGGCCCCGAGGAGCAAUCAAAGCCCAAGCCCUGGCUGAUUUUAUGGUUGAUCGUGUUAUACCAGGGGAAGAAAUUCCGGAGGCACAACCAUUAGAGCAGGAGAAACCAGAGGGGGUGUGGCUGGUGAUGGUUGAUGGGUCAUGUAGUGAACAGGGAUCCGGAGCAGGAGUUGUAAUACGGAGCCCAGAAGGGGUCGAGGUAUCCUAUGCAAUAAAAUUCGAGUUCUAACUUACAAAUAACCAAGCUGAAUACGAGGCCUUCAUUACUGGGCUCGGGCUUGCACACGCACUACGAGCUGAAAGGGUAGAAAUCCGAGCAGAUUCUCAGCUAGUCUGCAAUCAGCUCUGCGACCAAUUCCAAGUAAGGGAAGAAACGUUGGGGCUUUAUCUGAAAAAGGUGAAGCAAAUGGUCGAACUCUUCAAAGAGGUAGAGGUAAAGCAGAUAUCUCAGAAUGAAAAUUACCGAGCAGAUAUGUUGGCAAGAAUGGCUGCAAAUGUAGACCCAAAGUUACCUAAGUCAGUUCCAUUGGAGAUAAGGACCUCGCCGAGUAUAGGGGAGGAAGUUGAGGUAAUGAGAGUAAGCACUGAAGAAUCAUGGAUGGACCCGAUUCUCGCAUACAUCCGCGAUAGCACUCUACCGGAGGAUAAAAGGCAAGCAAAAAAAUUAAAAUGCCGAGCAACAAGGUACACGCUACUUGAUGAGGUGCUCUACCACCGAGGAUUCACCUUACCACUUUUGCGAUGUCUGGAUAAGGAGGAGGCUGAUUAUGUACUAAGGGAGAUUCAUGAAGGAAUAUGUGGAAAUCAUUCGGGAGCAAGAACUUUAGCCUUCAAGGCACUCCGGCAAGGAUACUUUUGGCCAACCAUGCACCAGGAUGCGAAAAGGAUGGCAAGGAAUUGUAAAAUCUGCCAAAGCUUCUCAGAGGUUCCUGCACAACCUCCAGAAAAGCUGACCACUAUGACAUCCCCAUGGCCUUUUGCUCAAUGGGGAAUCGACCUGAUUGGUCCGUUACCAAAAAGCCGAGCAGCGGCAACACAUGCAAUUGUAGCAAUAGACUACUUCACCAAGUGAGUAGAAGUGGGAACCCUCAGCCAAAUCACGGAAAGGAAGACGACGGAUUUUAUUUGGAAAAAUAUCAUCUGCAGAUACGGAAUCCCCUAUACCAUCAUCAUAGACAAUGGAAGGCAAUUCGACAACAAUAACUUCAGAGAAUUUUGCCGAAACCUAGGGGUAGAUCUGAAGUUCUGCACCCCCGCGCACCCCCAGGCAAAUGGACAAGUGGAAGCAACCAACAAAGUAAUAAAGAAACUCCUGAAAACAAGAUUGGGAGAGAAGAAGGGAGCUUGGGUCGACGAGCUACCAGGAGUACUGUGGGCUUACCGGACAACUCACAAAACCGCCACAGGGAAAACCCCGUUUGCUUUAGCUUUUGGCCAUGAAGCGAUAGUCCCAGCAGAAAUUGGAGUAGGAACGCAUCGAACAGAACAUUUUAAUGAGGAGCAAAAUGAUGAGCAGAUUUACUUGAACCUGGACCUGUUGGAGGAGAAAAGGGAAGGGGCCUCACAGAAAGUGGCCCAAUGUCAGCAGAGGGUCGCGCGUUAUUACAACAAGAAAGUACGCAUGAGGCAGUUCAGAGCAAGGGAUUGGGUGCUUAGGAAGGUGAAUCAAAACACUAGGGAUCCCUCUCAUGGCGUGCUUGGUCCGAAAUGGGAAGGCCUGUACAUGGUGAUACGAGCGACUGGACCAGGAGCUUACAAACUAGCAUACCCAGACGGACGAGAUGUGAAGAGGUCGUGGAACGCCGAGCACUUGAAGAAAUAUUUCCAGUAAGCAAAAUGCUUUACCAAGUCUUCAUUUGAUAAGAUUUCCAGUAGGGGUGGGCAAAAUCGGGUUCGGGUCGGGUUCGGGUCAAUCCGAUCGGGUUUCGGGUUGUUCGGGUUAGACAAGGAACAAUCCGAACAUAACCCGAAUUAAUGAUCCGACCCGAACCGACCCGAACUAUCUUAGGGCCGGUUCGGAUCGGGUCAUUAAUUCAGGUUAUGUUCGGGUUGGAUCGGGUUGGAUUUAAAAUGGGUAGGAUUGAGUUCGGGUCAAUUUGGGUUAGUUCAGGUCAAUUCGGGUCCAUUCGAGUCAAUUCGGGUCAGUUCGGGUCAGUUCGGAUCGGUUGAAAUCAGGUCAAUUCGGGUCAGUAUAUAUAUUUUUUUUUUAGAACUCGAUCGGGUAUUCGGAUCGGGUCGGGUUUGACCCGAACCGAUCACAACCCGAUCGGGUUUGUAAAUUUCAAACCGAUCGAGUUUCGAUCCCGACUCAAACCCGAAAUUUAUCGGGUCGGGUCAGGUCGGAUCGGGUAAAAUGCCCACCCCUAGUUUCCAGGCAUCUUCACAUUGGAGACUAAUAACAGGUGAUGUUUAUUUUUUUUCUUUUUUUUUUUAAAUCCUUAAAAAUAAAUAUUAAGUUGUUUGUUUUCUAACUUAGAAAUUUUGAAAACUAAUAUUUUAUAUUUGUGUCCUUAUAAAUUAUAAAUGUUAAACAAAUAAUGAAUAUAUCAAAUAAUAUAUAUAAGAUAACAUAUUAUAAUAAUUUAAAUCAUAUUCAAUUAAUAUAAUUUUUUAAUAUUUUAGAUUAACAUAUGUUAAUCAAUUUUAUAGUAGUUUAUAAUAUUUUUAUAUGAAAAAUAUUUAUAAAAAAUUAUGCAGAUAAAUAAUGAAACGACCAUAAUAGAGUCUUGCGCUGCAUGCAUGUCUGUGGAGGCCCUACUUAACUAUUUGAUGAGAAAUUUCAAUGAAAAUGAAAGGAGUACCAUAUCAAGGCUAUUCAACGCGGACCAAUCAGGCUUUUCGAAGACGCGAACCAGCCCCAACAGCCCGGAACUAGACUAAGGAAGUCGUCUGCAGUGGUCCUUUCGCUUUCUAAUGGGACCUUCCCUGAUUAAUUAUUCAUAAUUGGCAGUGUCUAAGAUUAUCCCUUCAGUCAUAACUGGCUGCUUCUAGGCAUCUUCAUUCUUCAGAUCGAAGGUUAGUCAUCGUUAUGAAAUACCAUGCAACUUUAACAUACGUUAGAUUAAUUAAACACGAAUUUCUGGAACAAGAAAAAAAAUUCGAAUAUAGCAUUCUAUUAUAAAUAAAUAAUUUCAUCAAAAUGGUGAGUUAUAGUCAUGGGUGACUGCCAUCUAGUUAAGAUUGUAAAAUUCUUUUGUGUUCGUAAAAAAAAAAAAAAAUUCGAGUUCAAAUCCUGUCAGUCUGUCACAUAGGUGGGGAGUGUAUUAAAUACUUGCAGUGCUAAAUAAUAACAUUGAUGUCACAUCUGUGGAACUGCAUGUCUGUGGAGUCCCUACUUUUUUUUUUUUUAAUAUUGAUUACGCACCAGAUUACUGCAUUGCACAUAUAUUUACAACUAUUAUUAUAGCAGACAUUACACUGAUAUUUACAAUCAGAUAUACAUAAGUACCAGAUUACUGCAUUGCACAUAUAUUUACAACUAUUGUUAUAGUAAACAUUACACUGAUAUUUAUAAUCAGAUAUACAUAACUGAGACUUAUAUAUGAUUACAUUAAAUUCUAUGAAAUACAUGCCUAGAUAAAUUACCUUCACAGACGAGGGAUGCCCCCACUUCACUUGCAUUUCGCAAGAAAGAAGAAGUUAUAAAUGUUUAGCCCCCACUUGAUUAAAUAGUUAUGUGACAGAACAAAACCAUUCAGCAAUCUAGUGCUCAAGAUUUUUAAAUUAUUCACCGGCGAAACUUAAUCAAAUGAACAGAUUCAAAACAAGACAAAGAAACCCAAUCAAAUGAAAUUCCCUUUAGCAAUGAUUAUACAAUACAUUUUUCAGUAUUAAAAUUAAUUAUUAAUUAUCAAAUUAUCAAAGCCUACUACGUAGUACGUACUUAUCCACGGAUUAAGAUGACUACUUUGAAAAGUUUCGUUAUAUGUAUUUCACUGAAGAAUCUGACGGUGGAUGACAGUUUGAUUGUUUAGAGGGAGUGGGUUAGGAGGAUGUACUCCUGCUCAGGACAAGUUCAGAUCAUGAAAGAAUCAUAUAUAAGUUUUUGGACAUAGAUUAAAUCAACUACAAUCGAAUUCAUCACAACUAAUAAUAUAAUUUGUUGUGUGUAUAGGUAUAUUCUACUAUUUUAGGCAAAUUAUUGUAUAACAUAUAUUAUUUUUAUUACUAUUAUUAUUAUUAUUAUUAUUAUUAUUAUUAUUAUUAUUAUUAUUAUUAUUAUUAUUAUUAUUAUUAUUAUUAUUAUUAUUUGUGUCUUUAGAACUAAUAGGCACAUACUAUAAGAUAUUUCUUGAUAUCUCACACUAAGUAUUAUGAACUCAUAGUGGCUAAAGGUCAUCAAAUAAUAUAAGUCAAAUUUUUAUCUUAAUUUUUAAAAGAUGAAACCAAGAUUAUUAAAAUUUUGCAUUUCAGAAAAAAAUUGUUAUACUUUAUGUAAUAUCAGUAAUUUACCUCUUGAUAAAAGUAUAAUAGUUUGAUAUUGCAUAAAUAUGUAAAGUAUAAUAAUUCACAGAGGCAGUUACAUAUGUAAUCUAUUUAUCAACAUUUUUCAAAAAAUAAAAAUAAAAAUCUAUAGAUCACCAUUUAAAAAGUAAAGAAGAAAAAAUAAAUUUAAGAGAAUGAAUAGGAGUUAAUAACUUAGGAGAGAAAAGUGAGAGAUAAUAAAAUAAAUUAAAAGAUUAAAAAUUAAAUGAGAUUUGCGUAAACAAAAGAUGUAAAGUUAUUUUUAUCUUAAGAGAAUAUUAACAAAAGGUUUAAAAUAAUAAAAGAGUUUAUAAUAAUAGUUUAUUAAAAAAAUUAUUAAAAAAAUUAUAUAAUAAUAAUUUUAUCAAUUAUAAAAUUUAUCUCUAAUAAAUAAGUGACAUAUAUAUUUGAGAGCUACAAAUUAAGAUUUAAAAAUAUUAUCUUGGGUGGAUCCCGCCCCUAAGCAUAAGUGAUGGGGAAGUUAGCUGCCAGCCGGGCCCCACGACUCAUGCAAUUCUCUAAUGCGUAAUUUUGCCGUCCGAUUAUUGUUAUACUUCAAAAUGGGCCAUGGGUUUGUUACUUACAAAAGAGAGUUGGGGUCUGAUUGGAAAUACUUGCAAGAUGUUUCAAAAAUGAUUUUGAAAAGUUAGUAGUUAAUUUAGGUGUUUGAUUUUUUUUCUUAAUUCCUUUGGAGAAAAUUAUGCCAUGUAAAUUUUAAAAAGUAAAAAAUGAGUAACUUUUUUGAAAUCUAAUUUUGACAAUCAUUUUUUAUAUUUAAUAUAAUUUCAUAUAUAUCUUCACAUAUAUUAUAAAAAUUUAAAAUUAUCCUUAUUAAUUAGAAAUAAAAUUAUUAAAUUUAAAGAGACUAUUAUUAUUGCCAAUUAUAUUGAGAUAACAAAAUAAAAAUAAAAUUAAUAAUAUAAAAUAUUUUUUUUAGCUAUCAAAUAUUAUAUAUACACAUUAAACAAAUAUUUUACAAACAUGUUUAUAAAUCUGUUAAUAAAUUUUAUUCAACAUUAUGUCCAUUUCAGUCGUUUAUAUUCUUAUAACAGUUGAACAGUAAGAUUUAUCAAAUACAUAUGACUGCUUUUAAAACCUAUAAUACUUUAAAAAUAAAUCUUACUAAACAUUUUAUUAAUUCCGUUCACAACUGAUUAUUUUGACAAUGCAAUUAACAAUAAUUAUUUUAAAAGAUACAACAUUAUUAAAGUGGUCCUUAGUUUCUCGGGCUUACUCCUAAUAUAGGAAUGAGAUUCUUUUGGGCUCUCUUUUUAUGAGAUUUAAUUUUUAUUAUGUGAUUUUGUUGUUUUUCGUUAAUCGGUUGUCAAUUAAUUGCGUUUUAGAAAUAUUUAUCUUUUUAGUUUUUAAGGAUUGCAUUGGAAAUUUUUUAAUAAAAAUGGUUGAAUAUGACCAAGUAAGUAAUAAUAAAUUAAUUAAUUAAAUUAGCAUUGUUUACAGAUAGCGUACGCAGAGUUACGGAAUCCAAGAAAUAUACUAAGUUAAUUAUUGUAUUCAAUUUUUUUACGAGGCCUUCAUCUUAGUAAUGCUAAGGCAUUUCUAAUAUCAUCAUUUUAUUGUCGCUGGAGACUUGCACUGCAUGCAAUAAAUCCUGGAAUCAAAUUUGAUGUAAAACCUUAUUAAACCCAAAAUCCAAAUUUGAUGCAAAUCCUAUUAAAUCCAAAUUCAAUAAAAUCACAUAUUAUUGUAUACCGUUCUUUUACCUCUAACCUUCACCAUCACCAUCGGCGUAUCGGAGUAUGUAGAGACUCAAAAUAUGGAUCUAAAGAUUGUACUAUACUUUUUGUUAGUGACAGUAUCGAAUCACGUCACGUGCUUCUUUGAUCAUUAAUUGGAGAAACAUUUGAAAGAAAAAAAAUAAGUUAAUUUUUCGUUUAAUUGUCUCCAACAUUUCAUUAGUAUUUAUCUAUAGAUAUAGGUGAGGUUUACUAGGUUUACUCUGGCUAUAGAUUUUAAGACGGUAUAAAAACUACGCUUGUCAAGGCAAAAAAGAAAGGUUACAGAAAGAGAUUAUGAAAAAAAAAAAAUCUUUGAAAAGGUUAUUAUAUUUGUACAAAAACUAAAAUCAUAUAAAGUUUAUGUCUCUUUUUACCUACUCACGACUAAUAAUUUUAUGCCUUCUUACAAAAUAGUUAUAACUAAACCAAAUAAAAAGAAUAUCACUGAAAUUUAUAAGUAAUAAAUAUUCCCGUAUUUAGAUACCCAUGAUUGCUGAUUUAGGAGUCGUAUAGUCAUUUUUUCAAAAUGCUACAGGAGGACAAAGUUUCUCACUACAGCUCCAUAGUGUAGUUCAUCUGUUAACUAGAAAUGCCUAUACAUAGAUAUAUAUAUAUAUAUAUAGAGAGAGAGAGAGAGAGAGAGAGAGAGAGAGAGAGAAGUUUUUUAUCAACUUGUUAACAGUUGCUCUUUGGUUGGCACGAAGCUAACAAAUGCUGUGCCUAGUUUCCAUCCGAAGGCAAUUACACUGUAGAUGAUGUUUCUCUCGCUUACAUUGUUGGUGCUGCUUGCUCUCCGAAUCUUGGACCGUGUGAUGAGAUGGAUGAUUGGAAGCCUUUUCCUGAUGGAAUUCUACCGGAAGAAAUUACUACAAGUGACGAUGAACGUGUUGUGUACAUAUGCUUUCGUGAGGCUUCUGAGGUGAGAACAAUUGAACGGUGGGAAGUUGAGCAUUGUUGCCGUAAGUCAAUUAAGGUAGGGUCAAGCAAGAAGUGUCGAGACGAUUAACGAAGAUGAUCAGCAGCCUGUUCGGAAUAUUAUUCAUGAAUUUUGGCUCAUUGACGGGACUUCUUAUAUUGGUUGUGUUUAGUUUUCACCUGCCGACAAGGUUCAGUACACAUACUUGAAUAAAUUCAGUUUAACAUUUCAACUACGACCAUGAAGUACCCGUACAGGUUGCCACCUUGAGACUCAGUGUGUAAAAUUAAGAAUGAAGGUGCUUGAUGGAAAUGAUGAAGUGUACUAUGAAAUGCCACAGUGAGGUUAUUUUGGUGGGAAGACGAUAAUUAGAAUUUAGCAGCUCAAGGUACUCUCGAAUCAGCUAAACAAACACCCUCUAGAAGAGCUCUAUAGAAUACACUAGAAUACUGAAGAUGAAGCCAUGAAAGAUUGUGAUUCAUCAAGCUUAAUAGCAAAAUGUAUCAAGAGUUCUUAUUUCUAAUUGUAUCAAUCUAGACCCAAUCCUAGCCAUUUAAAAAAUAAUAAAUGCAAUUUAGUGUAUAAGCUUAGACUAAAAAGCCUGCAAAAUCACUUGCUGGAAAAGACAAAAUGAAUUUAUCGUAUUUGUGCGUUUUUGUUCUUUGUUUCUAGUUAUUCAUUUACUGCUUUUUUUUUUAACUGGACCGUCGAUGAAAACAUUUCAUAACUUGUGAUAUUAUCAUUUUAAAAUAAUAUAUAUGAUACUCAUCCAUGAAUGAUGAGAUAGUUUAAUUCAUAAAAUGUUUCAAAAAUUGUAAAAAUUUAUUAUUCACUUAAUAAGAAUCACAUGACUUCGAAACAGUUCCUUUGGUCCUUGCAUUCAUUAGCUGCUAUGCUAGUGCUCAUCAGUUGAGAAGAUGAAUGGGAUUAAUUGCUUUGAAUUUCCCAAAGUUGAAUCUCUUUCUUCUUCCACUCUAUUUAAAGCCUUCACCCCAUCAACUUGUUAUCGAUGGACUGUUUUUAAUUUUGACCUGCACGUAAGAUACAGAACCUGAGGAUGAUAGCCAAUUAGCCAUGAAAUAAAUUACAUAAGGUCGUUUGAUAUUAAUUUCCACUAGCAUUUGAAAUUUAUUUCCGUUUUCAGUUAUCUGAUCAAUUUUGAGAAACACAUAUGCAAUGUGGUUUCUGUUUUAGUUAAAUUUUAAAUUAUUCAUGGAGUAGUACUUAAAAAGAAAGUAACUUUGAGAAGAAUGGGCAAAUAAGGUAAUUCUGUUAUCACUCUAAUUCUCAAUUUAUAAUCACAUAAUUAUAGGCUCAAUUUGUCUCCUAGCCGUUGGAGUCAAUCGUGCAGCUGUAAAUGAGAUAAUUUACUUUCCAUGCAAGGUUAUAACAUUUAAUAGAUGAUUUGUUGCCAGACUUGGUUAUAACAUUUUUCAAAAUCCAGGAGUGAUUGAUGCAAAAUUUAAUGUCAUUGAUUCUGAAAAUCCUUUAGGAUGUUUCUCUUUAUAUAAAACACAAGUGUAAAAAUUAUUCACCCUGCACUCGACACAAAGAUAGUUCAAAAAUGAGCAUGAAAUUCUUAGGUAUACAAAUUGCAGUAGCAUUUACAUUUACGUUCUCACCUUGACCAGCAAAAUUAAUGGCUUUAGAAUUGAGCUCACCCCAAGAACCUCCAUUGAUUCGGCUCUGUUUCCCAAAGACCUUUCUCCAGAAGAAAUACAUCACAGAAUUGCUCAACUCUCCAGAGCUCGCGCUAUUCAUCUUAGAUCCAAUCAAGAACCCGAAACACUAAAAGCACCUGUUCCUCCUUCUCCUUUUGUUAACACCAAUAUAUACAUAACAAAGAUAUCCAUUGGCUCAACACAGUUCUCACCUUACUUGAUAGUGGAUACCGGUAGUGAUGAUACAUGGCUUCAAUGUGAGGGUUGCACAAGUUGCUUUCCAAUCAAGGGAGGAAGCUUUCCUGUCAAGGAAUCAAAAACUUAUCGCGGCUUAGCUUGUGAGCACGCUUUGUGUCCCCAAAUUGUGUAAUAAAGGUCUAUGCUCAUACGAUUGGAAGUACAAAGAAGGCAGUGGAACUAAGGGUGUGCUUUCGUCCGAAAGUUUCACUUUUCCUGGGGAUAAAAAUACAAGCCUAACAUUUGCAAAUGUAACCUUUGGUUGUGGCUAUGACAAUCAGAACGUAUCAUUUGGUGGAUACAUGGGAAGUGACAAUAUAAUUGCGGGGGUGUUUGGUUUAGGGGCAGGGCAACGAUCAAUCCUGAGGCAAUUGGAGCCUGAGACCAACCUACAUUUCUCUUACUGUCUUCGCUUGUACCCCACAACAGACGGGAGCAACACUACUUACUUGCGAUUUGGCCCUGAUGCUCAGAUAAAAGGAGACAAUAAACGAAAAGUUCAGACAAUAAAAUUGAACCCAAGCCUACCCGGGUAUUUUGUGAAUGUUACAGGUAUUAGCGUUGAAGGAAAACGACUAGAAAUAGACCCAGCUUUGUUUCAGCUGAAACAAGGAGGCUCUGGUGGAUUUGCUAUUGAUUCAGGUGUUGGACCCACUCUUCUUGUUCCUGAGGCAUAUGAAGUCUUGAAACUAGAAAUCCUCGAAUUCUAUUUGGCGCGAGGCUUUCAUCCUGUAAAAGUAUUGCAUGUGCCGUAUGAUCUUUGCUAUGCUAUUACACCUGCAGCUAAUGCUGAUGCUAGUGUUUUCUUCCCGUCAAUGGUAAUCCAUUUCGAAGGGGCUGACCUUUUUCUGGAUGAUACUGCUGUGAUGGGGUUCGUUGCUCCUCAAUUGUUCUGUUUGAUUUUCUUGCCUACGCAUCCAUCCGGACCGAAUCUUCUGGGGGCAUUUCAGCAAGAAAAUCAAAGGUUUUUGUUUGAUGUUGGAAAAUCUACUGUGUCAUUUGUUUCUGAGACAUGUAAUGAGCAAGAAUAAGAUUAUGUGACUCUAAAAAAAUUGCAGGCUUUUCAAAAUUUUUUUUUUUCUUUUUCUUCCCAGAUUGUCAGCUUCUUUGGAUUCAGGUCCUGCAAUUGUAAAGGCCUGAUCAGUACUCAAUUUUAGACAUAGCAGGUGUUAAAAAUGAGACUGAUGCAAUAUUUAAUUACGAAUUCUCCAAAUUUGAACCCUACGUAAACUUGAUUUAGAUAAUCAUGAUGUAAGAAGCAAUAAUGAUACAUGAUUAGGUGUACAAAAAGUUAUCGUUAAUGUAAAUAUAGAAAUUUGUAGAACUGGCAGUCGCAGCUCAUCAUGAUUAGUUGUGCAAUACCUUUAAUGGUAAAGCAUUAAUGAAAUUCUAUAAAGACUAAAAACCAUUUAAACCAAAAGAUAUAGAUUUGAUUGCCGCUCACAUGGGUGGGAAAGGGAGUAGAUUACUAUUAAGCCUAAUAAUAAUAAUAAGGAGCCCCUACGUUACGAUUAACGUAACGUACACUCACACACAGCAACAGUACCAAUUCAUCCAAUUCCUCAAUACCCAAAAACGCUGAUCUAAGCUUGCUUUAGAAAAGAUAAUUAUUAGGUAAGAAACAAUGAUACAUGAUUGGUGGUGUAUAAACAUUUAUCAUUUGUGCAAUAAUAUUGAAACUUGAAACACUGAUAACAUGAUUAGUUGUACAAUAUCUUAACGUUAAUGCAAUUUUAAAAAGAGUAAAGAGCAUUUAAAUGCAAAAUCAGCACCAAUUCCUCAAAAGCCAUUUGUUCUUCUGUAUAUCCAUACAAAAUUACAAAUGAUGCAACAAUGUUCUUGCUACUCACAAAAUAAAGAGAUUAUAGCUGUGAAACCCUUUGAUUUACAGCUACAACGGGUGGCUGCAGUUGCCCUUUACAUUUACAUCCUCACCGAGUUCAUGAGUACAACUUAUAGCUUCGAAAUUGACCUCAUUCCAAGAACCUCCAUUGAUUCAAAUCUUUUCCCCAAACACCUUACUCAUGAAGAAACAUAUCAUAGAAUUGCUUCACUUUCGAGAGCUCAUGCUCAUCAUCUCAGUUCCAUGAAUUCUGCCAAAUCCUCCCGAAAACAAAGCACACCCCGAGCCUGAUCAGUGGAUGCAACCACCAACUUUUUCUUUUCCUUUUGCUAAUAUAUAUGUAACAAAGGAUCGAGUUAAUUGGUUCAAGACAAUUCUCACCUUACCUGGUUAUGGAUACUGGUAGUGGGCUAUAUGUGACUUCAAUCUGAAAGAUUGAUUAGACAUUGAUCCGGCAUUGUUUGAGCUAAGCCGUGGCAGUUCAGGUCGGGUUUGCUAUUGAUUCACGCGUUGGACUGAUAAUUCAGGUUCCUGCUGCAUAUAAAGUUUGAAAGCUGAGAUGAUCAAGCACGUUGUUAUACAAAAUGGCUGGCAUCUCGUAGAGGCAGAGAAUUCAAAGAAAAUUCCAUAUGACUUCUGCUUUUGGGUCACACCAACUGGCAUUAAUGAUUCAAAACCAUCAAUGACAAUCCAUUUUGAGGAAGCUGAUCUUGUUCUGGAGCCUAAUGCUGUGUCUCAGAAAGUUGGUGAUCCCUUAUGAAUGAAUGUUAUCCCCAGCUAUCCUAAUGGACCAAAUCUAUUAGGGGCUUCUCAGCAGGCAAACAACCAUUUCUUGUUCGAUGUUAGAAAAUUUAUUUUGUCAUUUAUUACUGAAAAAAGUAAUGAAUAGGUAGGUUACAAGGUUAAAAUGUAAUGACUGGGUAGAUUAUAAGGUUAUCAAACAGAAUAAUUAGAGUUAUCUGCAUGAACAUAUAUAAGAUAUGUAUGACAAAAUUCCAGAGGCUAACUCUUAGACUACAAUAUUUCGGUUGAGGUUGAAUCAAUAAUUUAUCCAACUCCACAGCAUUCCAUCAUAUAUUUGUAAAACUCUUGGACUAUGAGACGGGCAAUUUAGUAAAUUGAACAUUAAUUAAAUGAAACAUACUUACAAAUAUAUUUAUGUAGAUAUAUUUCAUUAUUAAAAUUAUAAUUCAUACAACACAUCAUUUACACAGUUACGUGCCACUAAAAUUCUCGUUCGUCUUAACUAUGUUACAAUACUGUCAUCAUCAUCAUAUGAGUUUUUGUUUUACCGUCAAAUUAUGAUUGAAAUUUUGACCAACCUAUCUUCUUGUCACUGUUGGUGUACCAUCACCACAGUUUGUUGAGAAUCAAAUAAAACGGCAUUGAAUGAAGUUUUCAAAGACAUAAUCCGCACUUGUCAAAAGGAUAAUCUGCACUUGUCAAAGACAAGAUCCACGCCGAACGGAUUGAAACAUUUCCUUCCGUAUUCACAUAUGUAAACUUUGAAAAAAAUGUAGUCUCUGCAUCUAUAAAUAACUCUCAGUGUAUAAUGUUUUAAUUAAGAAAUGAAAACAAGUUUCUUCAUGGUAUCAGAGCCAUGAAUACGCUCAAGUUUCUUCACGUUUCGCUGCUCUGUUUGCAACAAAAACAGAGGAAACCAAAUUCUUCCCACAACCAUCUUUCCCACCAUUUUUCUUCCUUACAACCAUUCCUACCAUUUCAGAAAUCCAUGCCGAUCAAAAAACAAGCCACCUAUACGUAAAAAACUUGAGUUUACAAAUUUAUCAACAAUCCUAUAAAUUUUCCAAGAGUGUGUUCCUCAAGAACCAAGAAUACCAUUAAAUUUCUCAGUUUCCAGUAAGUAAACUGUAAAAGUUUCGCAUUUAAACACAUUUCCACGCGCUCCCACGCACCACCCGAAACCACACCCAGUCAACCACUCGCCUAUGUCAUCUUCACGCGCUCCCACGCGCUCCAGAGGUUGAAGAAGACUUCAACCGACAUGUCGUUGUUUAUCUCCAGAGUGCAGCAGUCAUAAACGACAUGUCGUUUCGUAUUACAUUGAAACCGACAUGUCGUUUGUAAAGUAGAGACAAACCGACGUGGCGUUUAAUUUCCAGAGGUGCAGCAGUCCUAAAACGACAUAUCGUUUCUAUUCCAUCAGAACCGACAUGUCGUUUUUUCAAGCAGAGGCCAAACGACUUGUCAUUUUUUGAUCUAAAAAGGUUAUUUUUUUUUCUUCUUUCAAUCUAGACCCCAAAAAAACAAAAAAACAAAAACAAAAACAAAAAAAAACAAAAAAAAGGAAAAGGAAAAGGAAAAAAAUAAAAAAAUGGAGAAAACUCCAAUUGAAUCUGCUCAUGUUGUCAUUCAAUCUGUUCAAUCUGAUGGAGUAUUUAAUGCUGGAAUUAUCCUCACUGAGACAAACUACGAUGUUUGGUCUCAAAUAAUAGAGAUGCAUCUUGCAGAAAGAGAAAAACUCUCAUAUAUUCGUAACAACACAAAGUCAUCUGAGGAAUCUUCAAAGGAAUAUGAGAAAUGGUAUAGUGAGAACCAAAAAGUAAAAAAAUGGUUACUCAUAUCCAUGUCUCCGGAGAUCAUGAAGCGAUAUUUACGAAUUCCUAUAGCCUACGAAAUCUGGGAUGCAUUAUCAAAAGCCUUCUAUAAUGGAAGCGAUGAAUUACAAGUUUUCACUCUAAACCAGAAGGCAUUCUCUAUCAAGCAAAAUGGACAACCACUCUCUAAAUUCUACGGAGAAUUGAUCAAAAUAUUUCGAGAACUUGAUCACCGAGAUAAAGUGGUCAUGAAGGAUCCAGAAGAUGUUGUAAUAUACAGAAGGUCUGUUGAAAGAUUGAGAGUGCACAUUUUUCUUGCUGGGCUAGAUGAAGAAUUUGACCAAGUUCGUGGAGAAAUUCUACGAAAAGAUAUUAUCACAGACUUAGAAGAGUGUUAUUCUCUUAUCCGAAGAGAAGAUGUACGGCAAAGCAAACUAAACAAGAAGGUCGACUCAGAAACGUCUGCUAUGAUAGCACGACAGCAGCCUCAAAGGAAGCUUGUUGACAAGUCAUCACUCAAUUGCACUCAUUGUAGAAAGAAGGGUCAUACGAAAGAACAAUGUUUUGAAAUCAUUAGAUAUCCUGACUGGUGGGAUACUCGAAAGAAGAACACCAAACAGGGAUCAAAAACUGCAGUAGCUGAAUCCACAUCCACUACAGAUCUUAGAAAAGAAUCUUCAGUGCAAAUCGCAACCUCUAUCAGUCUAAGUAAGGCCCUUAAAACUCUUACACCUGUUAUUAAUAGUACAUGGAUAAUUGAUUCUGGGGCAACUGAUCAUAUGACUUUUGAUUCUCGAUAAGUUUCUCAAUUGAAACCAUCUUCACAAAAACAUAUUUCCACUGCAAAUGGAACCACAACCUCAGUUAUUGGGGAAGGAUCUUUACGACUCACAGAUGAAUUAAAUUUAAACUAUGUGUUAAUUGUUCCAUCUUUAGAUUAUAAUCUUUUAUCUGUGUCUCAAUUAACCACUUACUUAUCAUGUGUUGUAAUUUUUUGGCCCGAUCAUUGUGUGUUUAAGGACAUCCAAACGAAGCAAACGAUUGGUUAUGGUAUUAGACGAGGCAACUUGUACUACUUGGAGAUGUCAUCAACAAACACUGAAAAGCUAAGCCCCACACUAGUCGCAGAUAGUUCCAUAAAAAAAGGGAAAUCAGAAAUUUGGUUAUGGUAUAAACGUUUAGGGCAUGUGUCAUUUGGUUACUUAAAAAAAUUAUUUCCUAAUUUGUUUCUGAAAUUUGAUGUUUGUAACUUUAAAUGUGAUGUUUGUGAACUUUCAAAAAGCCAUCGAACUACUUUUUCAUUGUCCUUAAAUAAAAAUCAAGUUCCUUUCAUGGUAGUACAUUCUUAUGUAUGGGGGCCAUCUAAAGUUUCUACAAUUGGAGGUGCUCGUUGGUUUGUUACAUUUAUUGAUGAUUGUAGUAGAAUGACAUGAAUUUUUCUGAUGAAAUCGAAAGAUGAAGUAAACCCUUUAUUUCAAAGAUUUCAUAAGAUGGUCACGACUCAAUUUCAGACACAAAUUCGAGUUCUACAUACUGAUAAUGGAGGCGAGUAUAUGAGCACAGCAAUUCAACAGUUUCUAAAAUCACAAGGAUUUGUCUAUCAAACCACUUGUGUGGGGACACCCCAACAAAAUGGCGUUGCUAAACGAAAAAACAGACAUUUACUAGAAGUUGUUCGAGCAUCACUAAUCCAAGCCCACAUGCCAUUAUCUUAUUGGGGAAAAGCACUGGCAUCCGCAGCAUACUUGAUCAACCGAACACCUUCAAGCUCUCUUGGAUUCCAGACUCCUUUCCAGGUUCUGAAUGAUGCAAUUAUGUCACCAAAUGUGCCGAAUUUACCCCCACAUGUGUUUAGUUGUGUUGCCUUCGUUCAUUUGCCGCAACAAGACAAAUUAUCUCCUCGAGCACUACGUUGUGUGUUUGUAGGGUAUGCCUUACAUCAAAAGGGAUACUGCUGCUAUCAUCCACCAUCAAGAAAAAUAUACAUCACCAUGGGUGUCGUCUUUCAUGAAGAUAUCAUGUAUUACUUGUCAGAGCCUGAAUUUCAGGGGGAGUAUAAUGAAAAGGAAAUUCAUACUCUUACAUAUCUUCCACCUGAAGAAGGUCAAUCUUCCAUUGAGAUAGUAAACCUUCAAGAUACUGGAAAAGAUAAUGGUGAUGAUUCUCAGGCUAAGAUAAGUGAAGACACAUUUGGGGAGCACAAUAACUCAGACACAACUGCAAUCGAGAAUGAGUCACAUGAAGAAAUACCUAACCAAUCGUCUGCAGAGGAUGUUCCUACCACAAGUCCAAUCAGAAGAAUUCUUCCCUAGCGUCAAAAUAGAGGUAUCCCUAAAACCACAUAUGAGCCUGACUUCUCUAGUAGAGUCAAAUACCCUAUGAGUCAUUUUGUGUCUAACCAUCGCUUGUCAGAAUCAAAUUAGUCAUUUGUGAAUCAAUUAUCUAUUGUAUCUAUUCUUAACAGUGUGCAGGAAGCCUUAAAAGACCCAAAGUGGAAAGCGGCUAUGAAUGAUGAAAUGAGAUCUCUUCAGAAAAAUCAAACAUGGGAACUAGUUGAUCCUCCACCAGGAAAGAAACCAGUGGGUUGCCGAUGGAUCUACACUAUAAAGUACAAAGCAGAUGACUCUAUUGAACGAUACAAAGCAAGACUCGUAGCUAAGGGUUACACCCAAACCUACGGGAUAGAUUAUACCGAUACGUUUGCACCAGUAGCAAAAAUUAAUACUAUUCGUAUCUUAUUAUCAUUAGCAGUCAACUUGGAAUGGCCAGUGCAGCAGUUCGAUGUAAAGAAUGCUUUCCUCCAUGGAGACUUGUCUGAAGAAAUUUAUAUGGAUCUGCCACCAGGAUGCAGUGGACCAGAACGACUCAAUCAGAAAGUAUGCAAAUUGAAGAAAUCAUUCUACGGGUUGAAGCAAUCCCCAAGAGCAUGGUUCGGGAAAUUCACAAAGGUUAUGGUUCUUUUUGGGUAUAACCAAAGCAGUUCAGAUCAUACCUUGUUCAUUAAAAAACGACAAGGUAAAAUCACUGCCCUUAUUGUCUAUGUGGAUGAUAUGGUAGUUACAGGCAACGACGAGGAAGAAAGAAAGGCUCUUCAGAAGUACUUGUCGAGAGACUUUGAGAUGAAGGAUUUAGGAGCCUUAAAAUACUUUCUUGGAAUUGAGGUUUCUCGAUCUAAGGGAAGAAUAUUUCUAUCUCAAAGGAAAUAUGUCUUAGAUCUAUUACACGAAACGGGAAUGACAGCUUGUCAGCCUAUUGACACCCCAAUAGAAGAAGGACUGAAGUUUUGUAUUACCUCAGACCAAGUUCCAGUAGACAAAGGAAGGUAUCAAAGGCUGAUUGGAAGAUUGAUGUACUUGUCCCACACAAGGCCAGAUCUUGCUUAUGCAUUGAGUGUUAUAAGUCAGUUUAUGCAUAAUCUCGGAGAACAACACAUGAAAGCAGUAAUGCGGAUCCUGAGGUACCUGAAGACAAAUCCAGGAAAAGGAAUCUUAUUUUCCAAAAAUGAAGAUUACAGCAACAUAGAAGUUUAUAUUGAUGCAGAUUGGGCCGGAUCAGUUAGUGAUAGACCCUCUACUUCAGGAUACUUUACCUUUGUGGGAGGCAACCUUGUCACAUGGAGAAGCAAGAAACAACAUGUCGUUGCCCGUUCGAGCGCUGAAGUAGAAUAUCGAGGCAUGGCCCUUGGGGAUAAGCUCUAUCUUAAACGAUUUGGGCUAUCCAUCACAACAACCAAUACAACUAUACUGUGACAACAAAGCUGCACGAGAUAUUGCUCAUAACCCAGUUCAACACGAUCGAACAAAACAUGUUGAGGUAGAUAAAAAAUCUUAAAACUGCCGAAAAUUCGAUCAGAAGAUCAACUUGCAGAUAUUUUAACGAAGGUCAUUUCAAGCAGGGCAUUUACAAAAUUCCUAGACAAGCUGGGUAUGUAAGACAUCUAUACACCAGCUUGAGGGGGAGUGUUGAGAAUAAAAAAAAACGGCAUUGAAUGAAGUUUUCAAAGACAUAAUCCGCACUUGUCAAAAGGAUAAUCUGCACUUGUCAAAGACAAGAUCCGCGCCGAACAGAUUGAAACAUUUCCUUCCGUAUUCACAUAUGUAAACUUUGAAAAAAAUGUAGUCUCUGCAUCUAUAAAUAACUCUCAGUGUAUAAUGUUUUAAUUAAGAAAUGAAAACAAGUUUCUUCACAGUUUUCUUGAUUGGUGCACUUAAACGUAACGGGGCCAAAGUGGGGUGUAAUAUGUAGAUUCAAGAUAGCUUAAUGGUUAAGGAUUAGAAGUGAGGACUACUAAAUUUUAACGAAAAGAGGAAAAAUUGUGGAAUAGUAUGAUUAAAAAGACAUUAAAGAAGUGUGGACUAGUAGUAAGUAACGCAUAUGGAAAGAAGAAAUAAAAAAACAUCAAUGAUCUAGUUAAUUACAUUUGGGUGAUACAUAUUUUGAUAAAUUAAAAUAGUGACACAUAAUUUAAAAAUUCUCGAUCAAGUGACAAUACGUAAAUUUUUAUCAUUAAUUCUAACGAAUGAAGGGAAAAAUUAGAAAAAAAGAUUUAUUUUAGAGUUAACUACACCUGGAUGACACACAUUUUGAUAAAUUUCAAAAUAAUUACACACGUUUUAAAAAUACUUGAUUAGGUCAAAAUCCAUAAACUUUUACUAUUAAUUCUAAUGGAACAAAGAUCAAAUAAAAUAAAAAUAGUUUUUUUUUCAUUUUUCUCUCUCCCCUUCUUCCUUCCUCUUCUCUAGUUUUUUUCUCCUUUCCUCAUCUUCUUCAGUUCAUUUCCUUCUCGUUUUCUCCUUUUUUUUCAUCUUUUCAAUUCGUCCUUUUUUCUCCCUCUUUCUCUCCUUCUUUCUUUGUCUUCUCUAAGCAUCUUCUCCACACCCAUGGCAAAAUAGUAGCCAUGAGUUGCUAAGGUUGACUCAACAAGAAUUAAAAAAAAAAAAUAGUUUGAUUUAACAGAAAAAAAAAAAAUCCUUGUUAGUUAGACUGACCUAGAUUCAAUUAUAAGUAAGUAGGUACAGAAACACCAUUUUGCAACUAAUUGUUGGGGCAAAAAUAUUAUUUUCUUAUUAAUUGACUAAUUCCUUUAGUUAACGGAUUAUUCUCUAAUCAAGUAUUUUUUAACGAUGUAACACUUUUUUUAAAUAUGUCAAAACAAGGUCACUGAUGGUAAUUAACUCUAAAUUAAAUCUCUUUUUAUUCAAUUUUAUCCUUGAUAUGUUAGAAUUAACAAUAAAAGCAAUGGAUUGUAUGGUAGAAUAUUUUUAAAAAAUGUGUCAUUAUUUUAAAAUUGUCAAAACAUAUGUCAUUCAAAUGUAAUUAACCCUUUUAUAAUCAUCUAUUAGCUGUAAUGGCUUGUCUUAAUUUUCUGAAGGCACAUGGGCGCCAUGUUCAUUCAAUUGAUAGAAAUUUGGUCUAUUGAUCAGGUGUUCCGUGCCGUUUUUGUCUUGAGAAUUGAAAAUCAGCCUCAACCUGAAGGCGUGUUAGCUUUGAAAAAAAGAAAAAGAAAAAAGCGACACAUCAUUUUCAAGCUGAUUAUAAUUCUUCUUAGUCUGUGUUUCGAUGGGAGAAGAGAAAAAGAGAGAGAAAAGUAAUUUAAAUUUUAUUUUUAUUUCUAUUGCUUGACUGGACAAAAUAUACAAGAAUUUAAUUUCUAUUAAAAUUUAAUAUCUAUCAUAAUGUAAAAUUUGAAUUUCACACCAAGUAAUGAAAAAUUUAAAUUUCUCUUAUGUUGAAAAUCAAAGCUUCUAAAAUUACCUUUCAACUUUUUAACUUGUUUAAUGCCAUUAAUAAUUAUUAUUUAUAAUUUUAUUUUAUCAAUAUAAUACUAUAAAUAAUUUUAUAUUAAUAAAAUUUAAUAAAUGAUUUAAGAGAUUUAACAAAAUAAAUGAACUUAUUUAUUUUAUUUAUUUAAUGCAAAAAUAUAGAAAUAUAAAUUAACUAUUGCCAAAAUUCCACUGGAAUUCAUGUGGAUUGUUGCCCUACCACCAACAGAACACCGCCGAAUGUAUGUAUAUAUAUAAUUCUAAUAAAUCAUGAAUUGUUUUAGAACUUUUUGACAUUAAAAAUGUUUGGUAUUGAUAUUAAAUUAUAUUUCAUUACUAAUGUAGAUAGUUUAGUAUUUAAAGUAAAAGAUAAUUUUGUCCAAAGAAAAAUAAUUAUAAUUUCUUUCCCUAUCAAAUUUUAUGUCAAAUUAAAUAAUAAAUUUUAAUUUCACUAUUCUCCUUCACUCCUUUCUUCUCUCUUCCCUUUCAUUCAAUUCUUUUCCUCUCUUCCCCUUUCUUCAAGCCAAACAUGGCCUUAGUCCUUUCUUCUCCCUUCCCCUUCAUUCAAUUCUUUUCCUCUCUUCCCCUUUUUUUCAAACCAAAUAUGGCCUUAGUAUAAUUUGGCUCUCAGGGCAUAGAAGGAAAAUUGCACGGGUAAGGAAAAAUUUCUCUAUUAAUUUUUUUUCUAAUGAAAUAAACGAUCCAUAUUAAAUUCUGAAUUUGAUAUUAACUAAUUUUUUCACUACAUUUAGAAAAUUAUGAGAGAAAAAUAAUAAUAAUAAUAGUAAGAAAGAAUCAUAAUCUAUAUUGCACAGGUUGUCGCAGUGACUCGUGAGUCGUGUGUCGUUUUUCGUGGGCGGGUGACUUGGAUUUGGCCUCAUAUGUCACUGCUCGCGUCAUCUGAAUUUCUCUUUCAUAAUCUAUAUUGCACAUAAUAACAGCGAUUAAUUAAGAAGCACUGAAGCACAAAGCCGCAAACCAGAUUUGUCAUCAAACCUAGUAAUUGCAGAUUACAAAGCUUGUACCAACAACCAAAAAUGAGCUGGUGGUGGGCUGGGGCAAUUGGCGCUGCCAAGGUACAGACUUAUAAUUAGAUCAUCUCUUUCAAUUGCUGUGCUUGAAAAAUUUAUUCUUAUUAGUUCAUAUUUUUAAAAUCUUGAGUUUAAUUUUCAUUUUAAAUUACAGAAGAAAUUCGAAGAAGAUGAGCGACCACCGCAACCUCAAGACUACCAGCACGUGGGACUCGUGAUAGGCAUUACGGGAAUUGUGGGAAACAGCCUAGCUGAGAUUUUGCCCCGACAGGAUACUCCCGGGGGCCCGUGGAAGGUCUACGGAGCGGCCCGACGCCCCAGGCCCGACUGGAACACCGAUCACCCGAUCGAGUACAUCCAAUGCGACGUUUCCGACCAGGACGACACGCAGGCCAAGCUCACAAAACUCACCGACGUCACCCACAUCUUCUACGUGACGUGGGCCAGCCGUCCCACGGAAGCCGAGAACUGCGAGGUCAACGGCACCAUGCUUCGCAACGUGCUCCGUUCCGUUAUCCCGAACGCGCCAAAUCUCCGCCACGUCUGCCUCCAAACAGGAGCGAAACACUACUUGGGACCGUCCGAGUCGUUCGGCAAGAUACGGCCUCACGACACUCCUUUCACCGAAGACCUGCCAAGACUGAAUGUGCCAAACUUUUAUUACACUCAAGAAGACAUACUGUUUGAAGAAGUUGAAAAAAGAAAGGGGCCGUUGCCAUUGACUUGGUCCGUACACCGGCCUCAU
rnacentral:lncRNA from 1 species